rnacentral:lncRNA from 1 species
UAAAAAAUAAUCAUCUAAAAUUGUAUAAUUUGCGAAAUAACCAUAUCAAAUUCAGAUUUGGCAAACUAACUCUUGAAACACGGUGAAUCAUUCACCGCAUUCUAAAAGUCUCUAAGAUUUUUAAAGGCAGUGAAUCGUUCACCGCAUUCAUUUCGCAUUCAUUAAAACGGUGAAACGUCUUCUUCAUAAUUUUUUUAGGAAAGAGAAAAAAAUGAGGUUGUUAAAAUUGUACGUAUAUUGUACGUAUGUAAAUAAAAAAAAAAAGUAAGAUUGUUAGGAUUGUAUGUGAAAUAUUAGAAUAUUUGUUUGAUUGUGUUGAUGCCAAAAAAUCAACACGCCGACCUAACCCACGUAUAAGUCAAAGAAAUAAGGACACGUGAUACACCAAGAGUCGGCAAUAAAGCGCCUGAAGGUCAAGAGCGUUUAAAGGUUAAGAGCGUUUAGACGAGAACGAUUGAGAAGUGGGGCGUAACUUCCAAGAGAAGUGGGGCGUAACUUCCAUGAUCAUGACUACACCACUUCCCCCACUACUAUAACCAAUAACCAACCAAUAAUGUGGGCUGAUAAGAUAUUAUAAAUAAUAACUUUGAAGUCUAUAAUAAGGGUCUUUCUCUCCUCUCCUUUGAACGAGAAGACCACCGCAUUUUCAAUACUUUUCUUUCCUACAUUUAUUAUUUUCUAGGAGUAGUUUACAUGUAAUCUUUUUUACCGGCAUUUAUUGUUUUCUUAAAAGUAGUUUUUAAGUUAGAUCUUUGGUGCGUGUUUGGUUCAAAGUUGGAGUCGGAGUCAGAAUCGGAAUCAAAAUAAGCUGAAAUCGGAAUCGAAAUGACUCAUUACCAAAUUCUGUUUGGUUCAUCACCUGAAUCGGAAUCGGAAUAAAUCAUUCCCAUUGUCGAUAUUUGAUUCAGGUGGAUAUAAAAAACGUAAUCAAAUUAAUAUAUUAACAUUAUCUUUAUAAUAUAUUAAUUUAAAUUCAAAUUAAAAAUUAAAUAUUAAAAAUUUAUAUCAAAAUUUUGAAAUAAUGUCAAAAUUUUAAAUCUAUUUUUUUUAGAAAAAAAUUAAACUUUGAAGUUGAGUGGAUAAUUCAAAUUAUAAAACUAAAAUUUGAUUUAUUCAAAUUUAAACUAAAAUUACAAUUUAAAUUUUAAUUUGAAUCCAUAAAUUUAAUUUAAGUUUGAAAUAAAAUUUGAAUAAAACUUUAUAUAAAUUAAAAUUUAAUUUAAAUUCAAAUUCAUAAGUUAGAUUCGAAAUACUUGAUUAAAUUUUAAUUUUUAAUUUAAGUUCAAAUUAAAAUUUAAAAUUAUAUAUUUAAUUUUUAAAUUUUAACUCAUAUUGUAAUUAAAAAAGUUGAAAAAAUAAAUUUAAUCCGAAUAAAUAUCCAUUCCAUCCGGCCUCCUAGGCCGGAUUGAAAAAUGAGGUGAUUGGGGGAUUCUCAUUCCACUCGGGAAUCGUAAUCGGAAUGAGACCCCCGCGUAUCAAACACCUACAAACGGAUUCACCUAUUCCGAUUCCGAUUCCGAUUCUAUGAUGAAAAAAAAGCGAACCAAACACGCCCUUGGAGUCUAUAUGCCCCACGGGCACACUCUGUUAUAAUUUAGAUUUUCAGAGUCUGUAUGCCUUUUGGGCACACUCUGUUUUGUAUGAGUUUUCAACUUUAUUUUAAUAUAUAAAGGUAUUCGGCUCUUUCAGCCGACCAGUUAUUGUAUAUUCCAUCUAUUCGGCUUAUCAGCCGACCCAAAGUACUAUACUAUCCAUACUUCCGGCUCAUCCAGCCGAACCGUUUCUACAGUAGAGGAUUCGAACUCUACUGAUCCGAUCGCUCAUUAGCCGAAUCGCUUGAUCCAGUCGAAGGGCGCAAACUUUGAGGAUCACUAAUCGUAGCCGCUCCGCAUCCCUACACGCUUCUCAAGAAAGAUCUUUUACCUGGUCAAAGACAAAGGGAAUUCGGCCCCUGACAGAUUGUUAGGAUUAUAUGGAUAGAUUAUUAGGAUUUUUUUGAUUGUUAGGAUUGUAUAGAUAUAUUAUUAGAAUUUUCAAAGUUGUUAAGAUUAUAUGUGAUAUUUGAUUAUUAGGAUUAUAUAGAUAGAUUAUUAUGAUUUCUUUGAAUGUUAGGAUUGUAUGGAUAAAUUGUUAGAAUUUUCAGGUUGAUAAGAUUAUAUGUGAUUUGUUGAAAUAUUUAUGUGGUUGUUAGGAUUAUACAUAAAAUAUAAAAAUAAACAGUAAAUAAGAUGAAUGAUUUACAGUUUUUGUGAGAAAUUAUAAAAACGGUGAAUUAUUUAUCGUCUUUUUGAAGACGGUGAAUCAUUCAUUAUGAAAAUAGCUCCCUUAAAAAAAAAAGGAUUAUUUUUCAAAUAUAAUUUUGGCCGAAUUAUACUGCAAAUAAUAAAAUUUUAGAGGCUAUUUUAUAAAAAAAAGUCUGAAAAGUGGAAAUGAGUACGUAGCUCUUGAAAUAAACGAAAAAGGUAAAGCUUGGGCGCCAAGUUUGCCCACCAGAAUAAGGAUAGAGCUGACACUACACAACUUGGCGAGAUGCAAAAUUAACCGUCAGAUCAGUAUUACGUACAAUUGGUAAUUUUUCUUUUCAAAAUUGAAAAUAAUUUUUAAAAAACAAAACAGAAAAUUUUUUUGAAGCAGAUAUUUGGAAAAUGAGAAUCGGCUGUGAUCUCGGCAGGGGGUGAUCAACAAAAUUACCGGUUCCCUACUUUAUAUUUUUGCUCUAAAUAUAAUCACCGAGUGCGCAUUAAUUACUUUAACACUUCCACAACUUUUCAUCUCUUUCUUUUUUCUUUUUUUUUUUUUUUAUUUUUUUUGUGUGUUUUGUACGCUUCUCUCUCUCUUUGAAAGGAGGCAUGUUCUCCGCGUCGCGCUCUUUCGUCUCGUCUCUUUCCUCCUCCCUCCGUCCUCGUGUGCUGAUGAGUACGAGACGCUUAGCAUCUUCUCCUCCUCCGCCGCCGCUUCCGGAAACGCGCUUCGCCCCGAAGAAGGCGAUUCGCGCGAUGAGCCUGAGCAAGUUCGUCGCCCACCAAACCGCGUUCGCCUUGCGCCUCGCGCAGCGCGUGGCCGCCGCCGAGGCGAAGGAGGGCGCCAACGUCGCGUUCUCGCCGCUCUCCCUCCACGCGCUCCUCAGCCUCGCCGCGGCGGGGACGCGGGGCCCCGCCCUCGACGAGCUCCUCGCCGUGCUCACCCCCGCGGGCGGCGCCGGCGGCGCCACCGCUGACGACGUCGCCGCCCUCGCCGCCCGCGUCGUCGGCCGCGUCCUCGCCGACGCCUCCGCCGGCGGUGGGCCCCGCGUCUCCUUCGCGAACGGGGUGUGGGUCGACGCCUCCCUCUCCCUCAAGGCCGCGUUCGCGGAGAUCGCCGCCUCCGCUUACAAGGCGGAGAUCCAAUCCGUCGAUUUCCAAACCAAGGUUCGAAUCCUCGCUUUUUUUUUUUUCCUUUUUCUUUUUCUUUUUCUUUUUGUUGUUCGUUUAUCGAGUUAUUAGGGUUUUUGUGGGGUUUUAGCUUGAAUAUGCAUGUCUUAGGGGGCUUGGAUCAACCUAAAAGAUUGUUAGUCUCGUAGGUAGAGAUAUGGUGACAACCAUAUAUGGUGUCUAUUUUAACAUGCCCCCCUAACAAAGUCGAAUUGAAUCUUAACUGAAUCUAGGUUGAAAUAGAAGCAGAAGAAACUAGAUUAGAAAUGGAAAAGGUUCUGAUGCUAUAUCAAAUCGCAAUCGCAAUCGCAGAGACCAAUCCAACAGCUUAAGUUCGCAGUGAACAAACCACUCUGACGUUGUGAAGAAGAUUCUAAGUUUUUGUUUUUAGUAUUCUAGAAUUUGAGUCAGCUGAACACUGGUGAAUAUGUCUCUCGUCCAGUUUUGUUAUAUAUCUUGCUAUAAAAUUCUCACUUCAUUCCAUGCAUGCUAAUUUUUCUCUAACUGAGCUUUUUCUUUCUUUCUUUCAUUUUUAUCCUUUAGCCGCCCCUCUAGUUAUCUAUCCUGAAUUUGGAAUGAUAAGGAAUUAGGGAUUCUGGGUAUUGAUUAAGCUGGAAUUAUAUUGAUUUUUUUGUUAGUCUCGGUUUUGCAAAUCAACUUCAAUAAAUAAUACUUAUCUAAUUUUUUAAAAGACAAAAAUAUUUCUUCUGCUGCUAAUUUUACUUAUCAGCGAAAUUGUUGACAGGUAAACCAGUGUUGCAGAUUCGGUUUUUUCUCCCUUUGUUUUAAGCCAAUCUUAACGCUGCUGUAUUUGUUUAUUAACUUUUUUCCUUUCCUAUUGAUUUAGGCUGGUGAAAUUAUCGAUCAAAUUAACUCAUGGGUUAGUUCGGCAACAAAUGGUCUUAUAAAGAGUAUGAUUUCCGGCAGAGCUAUCAACCAAUUCACUAGGGUGGUGCUCGGUAAUGCUAUUUACUUUAAAGGGGCUUGGGCUGAUAGAUUCGACGCAUCAGGAACGGAAGAUGGUGAGUUCCACUUGCUCAAUGGAAAUUCUGUGCGAGUGCCCUUCAUGACGAAUCCGGAAAUGCAGUUCAUGUCUUCAUACGAUGACUUCAAAGUGCUUAGGCUUCCGUAUAGAAAAGGGAAUGAUAGGAGACAAUUUUCCAUGUAUAUUUUCCUGCCCGACGAUCGAGAUGGGCUAUGGAGUUUAAUUGAUAAGUUGAGUUCCGAUCCCGAGUUCCUAAACCGCCAUCUCCCAAAGCGGGAGGUCAAAUUGGGAGAGUUCAGGAUUCCCAAAUUCAAAAUAUCUUGCGGGUUGGAUGCACCUCGACUUCUAGAAGAGAUGGGAGUACAUUUGCUCUUCUGUGGGGACGGGGGCCUGACUGAAAUAGCCGAUUCACCCAUCACCGGCGGAACAUCGAUUUUGCACAAAUCUUUCAUCGAAGUUAAUGAGGAAGGAACCGAAGCAGCUGCCGCUUCUUUCAUGAUGCUUGGGGCUUGUUUCUGGGCGCCUCCUCCGGACUUCGUUGCUGAUCACCCUUUCUUUUUCUUGAUCAGGGAGGACACAACCGAAGCGGUGCUAUUCAUGGGCCACGUGCUCGAUCCCUCAGUGGUCGCGUAAAUAAUGAAUCCGUUCUCAGGCAUUUGGUAGUUUAUUCCAUCUUUUGUUUUUUUUCUCCCCUGAAUCAACUCUUUGGAGUCCAAAAAAAAAAAAUGUAUGCGAGACGCUUUAAGUGCAACUUUAUAGGUGUGUUUUUACAGUCGUUUGUGAGUGGUAAGGAAUAUUUCUCUUUGGUGCUGCUGGCGUUACUGUUUUGAUUAUUAUUAGAGCGCGUUUGAUUAUCCGAAAGUGGCAGAAGUGAUUUUUUUUUUUUUUUUUUUUUCAAUUCCAUUAUUUGGUUAGCUAUAAAGUGAAACAUGAAAACUAUAAUUUUAUAAUUUUGAUUCUUUAAACAAAUAACUUAUACUUACAAUUUAAAUUAAAAAUUUAAAUUUAGAAUUUAAAAUUUUAUUCUUAAAAUUAAAUUUAAACUUAAACUGAGUUGAAUUUAUAAAUAAAAUUUAAGAACAUUUAUUCAAAUUUUAAUUCAUAAUUUAAAUUUAUAAUUUGAGUCUUAGUUUAAUUUACUUUUUAAUCUCAAAAAAUUUUGUAUUCAAAUAUGAAUUCACAAAUUAAAAUUUGAGUUUAAAUCACAAGAAUUGAAUAUUUGAAUUCAUAAUUCAAAUUCAAAGUUCAAGCUGCGAUCAAUAUUGAAAUUAAAUAUAAAUAGCAAAUUUUAAUUUUAAUUUCCACUUAAAAAUAAAAUUUUAAAUUUAAAUUUCAGUCAAUAAUCUAAAUUUAUAAUUAGAACAAUUUGAAUUCAAUGUUCAAAUUGAAGUUUUUAGCAGAAAAUAAUCUGAUUAAAAUUUAAAUUUUAAAUUAAAUUUAAAUUAUAGAAUUCAAAUUUGAAUUAAAAAUAAAUAUUUAAAUAUUUAAAUUUAAAUAUAAAGUCAUAAAUUUGAAAUUAAAAAUUUUAUGUUGAAUUUGAAUUUACAAAUAAAUUCAGAAUGUGAUCUAAAUUUAAAUUCUAGAAUUCAAAUUUAAAUAAAAAUAAAAAUUUAAAUAUUUAAAUUUAAAUAUAAAGUCACAAAUUUGAAUUUAAAAAGUUUUUUGUUAAAUUUGAAUUUACAAAUAAAGUUUAGAAUGCGAUCAUGAUUUUAAUUCAAAUUUAAAGUAAAAUUCAUAUUUAAAAUAAAAUUCAAAGAUUAACGUUAAGACCAAAUACAUUCUUUUAGCUAAACUUUCUAAUUUCGGUGACUUUUGAUGUCACGCCCCGGAUUGCACGAAGCAAUAGCUGUACCUGUAAACAAAACCAAGCUACAACCACAAGUAUGGAGCUGCUAAGCAAAACAAAUAUAUAUAAAACAUCAUGACUAUAGUACAUACAAAAGCUACGAACCAGCAACUAACAUCUCGCUCCAGUGAGUAACUAAACAAAGAGCAUGUACAUGUACAACACUCAUAACUACCUCUGAAGGGGCACUCCGCUAGCACGACGACUGAGAUUGAUAGGGAUCUAGCUCGCAACUCCCUUAUCAUGAUCAGUAUUAGCAACAGCAGCAGCCGUAGACGAAGGCUCUGCAAAAAGAGAUCAACAACUUGGUGUGAGAAUUACUACAAAAGAAAUAGUCCUCAAUGGGUAGCGCUACCGACCUCAACGGCUCACCCACUAAGUCUACAGAAAAUAUGCUCAAGGAUAGUAAAGGAAGCUGGAAAAACUCUACAGCUACAUGCCACUAUACUAUUGCUAACCAACACUAGCUAUCUAUAGAUAUAGGCAAGAUGCAAUCUCUGACCCAAUCUCACUAGGAACUGUGAAUACACCCGUCCCGCCUGUCGAAGCUACACCAACUACCACCACGCUGGGUUGUUGGUGGCGAGCAAGUCCAACUUAGACAUUACGUCAACAACGCAAAAGCACUAAGCCCGACUCCAGAGCGGCACUCGUGGGCGCUACCCAACUGAGUAUGCAAGCGUGUUUCUGCCAAGUUCAAUCAGGCUCUCACAGGCUAUAAUCAAAACAAAUAGGUUUAACUGGUCUACAACCAAAACUCACGUGCCCUUGACAAUAUCUGAUGCAAAUACAGAAAUCUGGGUCCACCGUCAACCGCGACGGCACUUGACAGUCCGAAACAAUCUACACACUAUUGUAAAAUAAGCUCGACAUCCCAGCACGAGCGUGAAUUCAUCCUACACUAAUUUGAGUAUCCAUUGCAUACUAACAAUGAUGAUACAAUAGAACCACAGAUCCUAAAGCUAAAUCUGGUAAUUUUCAGAAAUGACAGUGUAGGUUCUAAAUAUUUUCUCCUAAGUCAAUUCCAAGUCCAACAUGUAAAAUUAAACUACUAGCUUAACUCCAAAUUCAGAUUUAAACACUAAUCCAUGAAUUUGAUACUAGCAAGAAAAAUAGACGGAUAAUACAUGUCGACAAAUACUAAAACUUAGAAGAUAUUCCGACGAUUUCGGUAAACUUCAACCCACCUUAAAAUGCUCGUCCAACAACGGCGAGAAGUCGAAAGGAGAGGAAAUCCCGCGCUCGCCCGACCUCCAACGGCGCUACCACGACGCACGCACGCUCGAACGGCUCUCCGGCGCAACGUCGACAUCGAUCCGAGCUCUAACCGUGGCCUCCACCAAGCACAUAACUAAAGCUAGAGAGAGAGAGGAAAAUGAUAAUUAAGCUCCUUCAUUGCCUCUCUAUCCUAAUUAAAGCGGUGGGGAUAAAAUUGAAAGGAUCGAGACAACAAAAGACCAAAAGGCCCCUCACCUACUCAAACAUCCAGUUGGAGUACCGGUACCAGCCCGAUGCCGUACCGGUACUCAGCAUCAAUUAUCGCAACCCGAGAGCAGCAGUUCGAAAAUUACACUGGGGUAUCGGUACUCCCCUACGUGGUACUGGUACUCAAUACUGAAAAUCUGCACUUUGCCGAUUUCAAUGCCAAAACUCUGUUAUCGCGUCGCGCUGAGUUCGUUUUGUGUCCAUUUCGUGCCAAAACGACUCGGACUUGUCCCGACACUCUCCAGAUAUGUCGACAAGUCUCUGCUCCUUUCUCCACAAUCAAUGCCCGAUUCACCACCUCCCUAUAAGUCGAUGGGUUUGACGCCUGAACCAACCUGAAAAUCGUAGGUCGCAAACCUACCUCGAAAAUACGGGCCUUAUCCCCAUCAUCCCUAACCACGAAAGGAACACAAUGUAGUAGUUGAGAAAACUAUCGUUCAUACUCAACCACUGUCCUAUCCUCCUGCCUCCAAUUUCUCAGAUCCCUCUCUAUCUGUCUCUUUACACUCUGUGGAAAGUAAGUUGUCAACAGUAAUUCCUUAAACCUCUUCCAAGUGAUCAUAGAUAAAUCAGUAUAGGGAUCCUCGCGAAUAUCUAACAACCACCUGUAAGCCUCGCCAUCCAUAUGGUGUGUCGCAAACCAGACUCGGUCUCGCUCCUCUACAAAGGAAUCGUAAAAUAACUUCUCCAUAUGCAUCAGCCACUUUUCGACUAUCCAGUGAUCAGCUUUUUCACCGUCAAAUACACGAGGAUUGCAACGGCGAAAUUCAUUCAGUCGCUCCAUCAUCUGCUCUCGCUCCUCGGCCCUUACCAUCUCUGGUAGCAUUGCCCCUGUCGCAGCCACAGGCACUGGCGGUGGUACUACUGCCUUCUGCCGGGCCUCUACCCUCGGGGCUGCAUGUGAAGUAUCUGGUGCUGAUGGAUGUGCUCCUGCAGUCGUAUCCCUCUUUGGUACUGCUGGCGUAGGAUCUGGAACCUUUCUAUCCGUCGUCUACCGCAGUAGCAAAUCCUCCAACCUCUUCAUUCUUUUCUCUUGUCGGCGUGCGACAUCCAUCUGCUGUCGGGCUGCCGUUGGCUGUUGUGUCACUAAAUCUGUAAACACUGCAAGCUGAUCUUGCAGCUCACGAACCUCACUCGAUCCAGAGGUAGCAGUAGUCUCCACUUCCUCUGCAUCAGCGGCUUCAGCCGCUCCAGCUGCCAUAGAACGAGUCGUAGGCAUCUUAAUUGGAACAAAACAAACAUGGAUUAAUAACACUUACACUAUUAACCUCCACUUCAUAUAUUAACCACCCAUUUAAACGAAAGUAAUGAAAUGUAACAUAUACUAACUUUAGAUGUCACGUUGUCGGCCGCCAACAUGUCCCUCUGCAAAGUCAGCAAUUGUACGUUUCAAUCAAACUCCUACCAUUCGGAGUUUAUAAUUUACCCAAUAAAAAUACUUUCGCUAAAACUUAACUAGACCUCGUCUCUCAUGAACCUAUUUUUAUAAUCCAACCAGCCUAAGAUUCGCUAGGUCCACUAAGACUCAACCCUAGGCUCUGAUACCAUUAUAAUCUGUCACACCCGAGUAUCAGUGGAAGCCUACCCGGUACAUGUACAGAUCCGCCAUACACCUGCAGUAUAUAAGGCAUUUACAAAGAAGCAUGUCGAAAAAGAGAAAACAUAGAAGAAUUCUAACCUGAUAUCAAAGCAAAGUAUAAGUCGAUAAUACAACCAUCAGAAAACAGUAAGUAUAAACAGCUCAGAUUCUCAAUUCCACAGGAAAACACCAAAACUGUAAUCUCUGAUUCAAAUCACAUAUACAUCACAGGGUACACAAAAUAUAUGUACAAUGGUAGUCUUUCUAUAUACGGGGACAUCACCCUUGGCCGUAGCCCGAGUAGCAAGGUGAUCAUCUAGUCAAGCUCCAAGCUAUAUCUAGUUAGACGCGACUCCCUUGCCACGAUCCCUAGCCUCUCCUGUUGAUGGCUCUGUAAAAACAACAAUAAAAAGGGCGUGAGAACUAUUCAACAAUAGUUUCCAGUGGGUAAGCCGCCAGCCUCGGCGAAUUACACCACUAGGCUCAUGAUGAUAUACUAAAGAAAAUGUAAGCACAGUUAUAACAUGUAAGUUUUAUCAACAAUAAAGAACUAUGAAAUUGUGUCAUGCUGUCAGAUAUAUUUAUCAAGUAAAACGGGUAAGGUAAUCGCAAUGUACUUGAAUAUAUCAAGUAGAGAUGUAAUUGUAUACUACUCAAUGAUAAUCACCUGUUGUUAUCAUUUAAUAUAUAUUGAUUUAAUUUAUAAGGACCUAUUCAAGGUAGUCAAGCUUGUGCCGCGCCUAAUGGCCCCGUGGUAGUAUACACUCUCCACGGCAAUCCAUUUCGGCACCCAAUCCCGCACGGGCGAGCAAUCUAUCGUGUAGGCCAACUCCGGAGUGCCGGCUUGUGGGGAGCGACCCUCACAAGCAUGUGCGAAUGAGCACAAUGGCCAGCAAACAUAAUUAAUAGUUUAACAAUUCUCAAUUGUCAUGUCUAAACAUAUAAGAUUCUUACUCUCGACCUUUAGGUCAGAUUUCAACAUAGCAGGUUAGUAUCCACCAGAUUAAAUGAUUAGGCAAAGAACUAUAAAAUUACAUAUGUCACUUGCAUCAACUACUAGUCAAUGACAAUGCAUGAACAUACUAUUAACCGAGACAUAAAUUGAUCACCUCAUCAUUUAUUGCUUAUGCAUUUAAAAUGAAUAAGAAGGCAAUCAUUCAUGAUUCACGUAGUUACGCCUAAUUCAUAGUUAUAUAGCAUCAUAUAGAACAUAGAAGGAAUCCACUUGCUCUGGUGAGGUCAAACCCACCUACUAAACGAUGCCUCUUGUCAAUCUCACACGGUGAGCAAUUCAAGCAUCCAGGUUCCUAAUUCAUGAGUCAAAAUCAGCUACAAGCUGAAUUAGAUAUCUAUAGCAAAAUCUCACCUAUUCAUCGAAUAGGUAGUAAUUACUUACCUAAGUUAAAAGGGAGAUUAAAUCCACUCUCCAAUGUAUGUAGAAGCUCCCCAAAACUCAGCUCAAACCUGCUCAAAUGAGUCCCGAAUUCAGCUCAACCAGGUCUUAACCCUGCUGCGAUUUACUUAUAAAACUGCAUCGAAAUUUAUAUCAAAACAUUCAUUUUCAGCAACAUUUUCCCUUAUACCCGGUCACAGCUUACACCCUUGUUUUGGUUCAGGUUAGCACGCUCAAUUCCAUCUCCGAAGGCUCUCAAUAUAUAGCCGAAAGUUAUCCAUUACCCUGUUAUAAAUCUGCUGCGUAUUAGCUUCAAAACUGCAUCAACAUCAUUACUAGAACACUCUAAUUCAACCUAAUUCUCACCUAGGUUCAGCGCAGUGUUAAUCCUCCACCUCGACUCCGGUUACACAUCUUAAUUCGGCUCAUAACCAUUCUUCAAAUCAGCUCUAAAUGGAUAACAUACAGCUGAGAGCAUCAGCCCAAAAUCAGCAUCUCUACUCUAUCUUUACAUCAUAAAUAUGAUAAAUAUAAGAUAGAUAAGGAACUACUCACAUUCUCCAAGUUCAAUUCAGCUUUCUAGGAAAUUAUAGUAGAAAAUUUCAGGAGUUAAACCCUUCUCUAGCUGUCUUGUGGCUUCUCCCAAUUCAGCUAACAAAACAAAGAACCAAAUCCUACUUAACUCCAUCAUUAAGCCUCAAACUAAAUAGUAAUUAAGUAAUAUUACCUUUCCAAAACCUCAACCAGCUAUAAGAGUGUGCAAGGUCACGAAAUACCCCUUAAUACUCCUCAUUCUUUUACCCACAGCAACUCCAAAACAGUCCCUGCCAGUAAACAUCAAGCAAAGAGAUGAAUCAAGCUUAAACCCUUGAUUCCUUAUAGAGAUAGAAAAAUUUCCUAGAGAGAGAGAAAAGGAAACCUUCAAACCCACUUUGCUGAGCUCAAGGAUGCUUAUCCAAGUUGCAGGGGUCGAGCUGGGGUUAAAAGGGAUAAGCUUGAUGAGUAAAAAGACCAAAAAGGGCUUGCUGCCACGCAACUGCUGUCUCUACUGCUUGCUGUACCGGUACAGACUAAGGGUUGUACCGGUACACCAAUGUAGAAAAUGCAAAUCUCAAGAUUGCAAUGCACUUUCUCGCUUCCCACAUUCCGAUCACUCUCAAACUUAUUCAUAAUUAUCUUUAAACCCUUUACAACAUAUGGAAAGGUUCCAAAUAUCAUUCACCUUACUCGAAUUUCGCAAUUUGCUAAAGUUCAAUUUACUACAAUAAUUAAAAUUUAAAAAUAAAACUCAAACCCACAAUUCAAAUUCAAUUUUAAAAAUAUAAUUUAUUUUAAAAAAAUAUAUAGAUUAAUAUCUGAAUUUAAAUUAUUGUUAGUGAAAAAAAAAUUCGUUUCUCAAUUCUUUUCCAAAUCAAAAUUGAUUCGUACCUCAAUGGUGAGAAUCAUUAUGGAAAUAUUCGAUUUCCUGGCCUCAAAUAAAACUCCAAUAUAGAAAUGAAUCAAUCCAAAUAUUCAUUACAAGGUUCAAAUCCUUCAAAUCAAACAUGCCGCCCUUAAUAUUCAAUUUAAACAAUGUAAAAUAAAACGAAGAUAUUAAUUAUAGAAUGUUGUGUUGAAUUAAAAGGGGCUAGUUCAGGAGUCCUAUUUAUAUUAGUUACUUUUUCUUUAUUUUCACUUUCUGGUUGGCUCGUGUAUGAAGAGUUUUUUUUUUUUUUUUUUUUUUUUUUUUUUUUUUUUUGAGGGAGAGAUAGGUAGCACGCUGUCCGCUUCAUUUAUUUCAUUUAGAAAUAAACUUAGCCGGAAAUGUGAUUCAAUUAGAAUUCAAAUUUGGAAUCUCGGUACCAACCAUCAAAUCUUUGCCACUUACUCAAGAGACGGUCAGUCUCUUAUAUAAAGAGUUGACAUGAGUUCGUAGUUCUUACAACAAAUAAUACGGUGAAAGUUUGGGCCUCAAGUUUUGCCUGCUAAAAUAAGGAUACAAUUGAAACUACACAACUUGGUGAUGCAAAAUCAACCGUGAGAUUAGUAUUACAUACAAUUGGCAAUUUUAUUCUCAAAGUUCAAAAUAAAGUUUUUUUUUUUUUUUGAAAAACAAGGGGAAAAUUUUGAAGCAGAUAUUUGGGAAACGAGAAUCCCUGUUAUCUCGGCCGGUUGUUGACAAAAUUACCGGCCCCCUGCUUUGUAUUUAUGCUCUAAACAUAAUUAAUUACUUUAACCCUUUCCGCAACUUUUCAUCUCCUUCAUAUUAUUAUUAUUAUUUUUUUUUUUCUUGUGUGUUUUGGACCCCACUCUCUUUGAAAGGAGGAAUGUUCCCCGCGUCGCGCUCUUUCCUCUCGUCUCUUUCCUCCUCCCUCCGUCCUCGUGCGCUGGUAAGUAAGAGAUGCUUAGCAUCUUCUCCUCCUCCGCCGCCGCUUCCGGAAACGCGCUUCGCCCCGAAGAAGGCGAUUCGCGCGAUGAGCCUGAGCGACUCCGUCGCCCACCAAACCGCGUUCGCCCUGCGCCUCGCGCCGCGCGUGGCCGCCGCCGCGGCGGAUGAGGGCGCCAACGUCGUGUUCUCGCCGCUCUCCCUCCACGCGCUCCUCAGCCUCGCGGCGGCGGGGACGCGGGGCCCCGCCCUCGACGAGCUCCUCGCCGUGCUCGCCCCCGCGGGCGGCGGCUGCGGCGCCACCGCGGACGACGUUGCCGCCCUCGCCGCCCACGUCGUCGGCCGCGUCCUCGCCGGCGCCUCCGCCGGCGGUGGGCCCCGCGUCUCCUUCGCGAACGGGGUGUGGGUCGACGCCUCCCUCUCCCUCAAGGCCGCGUUCGCAGAGAUCGCCGCCUCUGCUUACAAGGCGGAGAUCCAAUCCGUCGAUUUCCAAACCAAGGUUUGAAUCCAUGCUCUAUGAUUUUUCUUCUUUUUUCCCUUUUCCUUUUCCUUUUUCUUUUUCUUUUUCUUUUCGUUGUUCGUUUAUCGAGUUAUUAGGGUUUAAGCUUGAAUAUGCAUGUCUUGGGGGGCUCGGAUCAAUCUAAAAGAUUAUUAGUCUCGCAGGUAGAGAAAUGGUGAGAACCAUAUCUGGUGCCUAUUUUAACAUGCCAAUGCCAACAAAAUCGAAUUGAAUCUUAACUGAAUCGAGGUUGAAAUAGAAGCAGAAGAAACUAGAUUAGAUUAGAAAUGGUUCUGAUACUAUAUCCAAUCGCAAUCGCAGAGACCAACCCAACAGCUUAAAGUUCGCAGUGAAUAAACGCCUAAUUUUUUUUGUUUUUAGUAUUCUAGAAUUUGAGGCAGCUGAGCACUGGUGAAUAUGUUUCUCUUCCAGUUUUGGUUAUUCUAUGUCAUUUGUGUUUGUUUAUCAGUUUUUUUUUUUCUAUUGAUUUAGGAUGAUGAAAUUACCGAUCAAAUUAACUCAUGGGUUAGUUCAGCAACAAAUGGUCUUAUAAAAAAUAUGAUUCCCGAUGGAGCUAUCGAUCAAUUAACUAGGGUGGUGCUCGGUAAUGCUAUUUACUUUAAAGGGGCUUGGGCUGAUAAAUUCGACGCAUCAGGAACGGAAGACGGUGAGUUCCACUUGCUCAACGGAAAUUCUGUACUAGUGCCCUUCAUGACGAAUCGGGAAACGCAGUUCCUGUCUUCAUACGAUGACUUCAAAGUGCUCAGGCUUCCCUAUAGAAAAGGGGAUGAUCGGAGACAAUUUUCCAUGUAUAUUUUCCUGCCCGACGAUCGAGAUGGGCUAUGGAAUUUAAUUGAUAAGUUGAGUUCCGAACCCGAAUUCCUAAACCGCCAUCUCCCUAAGCGGGAGGUCAAAUUGGGAGAGUUCAGGAUCCCCAAAUUCAAAAUAUCUUACGGGUUGGAUGCAUCUCGAGUUCUGAAAGAGAUGGGAGUACAUAUGCUCUUCUGUGGGGAUGGGGGCCUGACUGAAAUAGCCGAUUCACCCAUCGCCGACGGAACAUCGAUUUUGCACAAAUCUUUCGUCGAAGUUAAUGAGGAAGGAACGGAAGCAGCUGCCGCUUCUUUCAGGAUGCUUAGGGGUUGUUGCAGGGCGCCUCCUCCUCCUCCGGACUUCGUUGCUGAUCACCCUUUCUUUUUCUUGAUCAGGGAGGACACAACCGAAGCGGUGUUGUUCAUGGGCCACGUGCUCGAUCCCUCUGUGGCCGCGUAAAUAAUGAAUCCGUUCUCAGGCAUUUGGUAGUUUAUUCCUUCUUUUUUUGUUUUUUUCUCCCCUGAAUCAACUCUUUGGAGUCCAAAAAAAUGUAUGCGAGACGCCAUGAGCGCAACUCUAUAGGUGUGUUUUUAAAGUCGUUUGUGUGUGGUAAGGAGUAUUUCUUGUUGGUGCUGCUGAGGUUACUGUUUUGAUUAUUAUUAGAGCCACGUUUAGUUAUCCAAAAGUGGCUGAAUUGAAAAUACUUUUUUUUUUUUUUCUUUCGCUAAAUUACAAAAAAACCAUUCUAUCAAAAACUGAUUUUUUACUUUCCUCCCUGUCUAUUAAAAUCUACACAUUGCCCCCCUAAAAAAAUAAAACAUCGGGUUUUGAAAGGGAGGUUUUCUGUAAUUUAUUUUUUUUUUUUUUCAAUUCGAUUAUUUAGAUACAUAUAGAGUGAAACAUGAAAAAUAUAAUUUUAUAAUUUUGAUUCUUUAAUUAUAGUAAAAAAAGUGAAAAUAUAAACAAACGACUUAUACUCACAAUUUAAAUUAAAAUUUGAAAUUUGAAAUUUAAAAUUUUAUUCUUAAAAUUUAAAUUUAAACUUAAAUCAAGUUGAAUUUAUAACUAAAAUUUAAGAAAAUUUAUUCAAAUUUUAAUUCAUAAUUUAAAUUUAUAAUUUGAGUCUUAGUUUAAUUUACUUUCUGACUCAAAAUUUUGUAUUCAAAUAUGAAUUCACAAUUUGAAUUAAUAUUUAAAUUAAAAUUAAAAUUUGAGUUUAAAUCACACGAACUGAAUAUUUGAAUUCAAAAUUCAAAUUCAAAAGUUCAAACUGUGAACAUUAUUGAAAUUAAAUAUAAAUAGCAAAUUUAAAUUUAAAUUUGAAUUUCAACUUAAAAAUAUAAAUUUUAAAUUNUUAAAAUAAUUUAAAAAUAGAAUUUAAAUUUGAAUUAAAAUAAAUAUUUAAAUAUUUAAAUUUAAAUAUAAAGUCAUAAAUUUGAAUUUAAAAAUUUUAUGUUGAAUUUGAAUUUACAAAUAAAUUCAGAAUGUGAUCUAAAUUUAUAUUCUAGAAUUCAAAUUUAAAUAAAAAUAAAAACUUAAAUAUUUAAAUUUAAAUAUAAAGUCACAAAUUUGAAUUUAAAAAGUUUUUUGUUAAAUUUGAAUUUAUAAAUAAAAUUCAGAAUGCGUUCAUGAUUUUAAUUCAAAUUUAAAGUGAAAUUCAACUUUAAAAUAAAAUUCAAAGAUUAAAGUUAAGACCAAAUAUAUCCUUUGAGCUAAGCUCUCUAAUUUCGGUUACUUUCGAAUUUUUUGAGCCAAAGUAAAAAGUGUGAGAUUUAAUUAUAAUUCAUUUAAUCAAUCCAUUUUUGUAAAAUGUCUUUCAUAUUUAUUUUCGCUACGCAAACAAUUGAUAUGACAUCACUUUUUAAAAUAUCACUUUCGGUACUUCACUUUCGGCCAACCAAACAUGCCCUUGGAAUCACUACAACGAUAUACUUUGUAACCCAAGUACUAGCGACUUGGUCUAUUGGGCCUCUUAUGCCCAUCGGGGUUUUUUGCAUCAGCCCAAUUAAAAUGUCACGUUUAACUCACGCGAUGUAGAAUUGACGUCUGAUAUUAUUAUGGAUAUUGCGACUUUGUUCUCAGAAUUGUUUUUCUUGUUUACCUGCUGUUGAAUUUUCAAGAAAACCCAAGUCUAGAAUGCAAAAGGUAAUUUUAUACACUUAUAAAAUAAUAAAUUUACCAAAAGAAAAAAGAAAUUAGAGAAGAAAUAUUACAAUUAUAAUUUUCAAAUGUUUGAGAACAGAAGUGUUAACGUCAAGAGUUUGUUCAUGCGUCAGUCUCAACAUUGGAGCGUUGCAGGGACUAUCAAUACAUUUUUAGAAAAAAAAAAAUCUAUAAAAUCUUUCAUUUUUAUUCCCAAAAUGGCCUUGAGGGAAUCCAUCGCCCUUCAAACUGAGUUUCCCUUUGUUUUAGGCUUGUUUGGUUUUACCAAAAGUGGCCGGACUGUAGGCCUAAGUGAACUGUGGUAAAAGUAAAGUUCAGAUAAAAAUUACUUCUUUCCAAAGUUGUUUGGUUUUACAGUUAUGAAAGUAAAGUUUCUUCAAUUCUAUUAUUAGCUUGGUAGAAAGUGAAUGACGUUACAAUUAUAAUUUAUAUACAUAAAUAACAAAUAAUUAGAUAAAUAGUAAAUUAUAAUAUAAUAAAGGCCUUUUUUCAUAAAAAAUCUACUAAUUUUGGGCUUUUGGAAGAUUGGAUCGUCUUUUUCGAUUUUGUAGAUUCAGUCCGGAGUUUCAGCAAACUGACCAAAAUACCCUUAUUAUUUUUUCUCUCUCCUCUUUUUUUUCUCUCAUUCUUUUUUUCUCUCUCUGAAAAAGGCAGUGGAGGCGGAGGCGGAAACAACCUGCCUCGCCUCUGCCCUGCACGCCCUCGCUCUUGCCCGUGCACCCCCGCCCUCGCAUCCGACCUUGCUCAGCCGCGUCGCGACCCCCUUCUUCAUUAGGGCACGACAACUUCGAGGUGCAGGCUUUUCUCCUCCACGGCGCAUCCAAACGCCGCGACGUUGUCAGAGGCGACGAGAUCGCCUCCGACGACGUCGCCGACAACGCCGCGAUGGUUACGAUAGAGAGCAAGGAAAAUGUGGUGACAAAAAAAUAUAUAGAAAAAAAAAAUAAAAAAAAAUAAAAAAAAUCUUUUUCUUACAGAAAAGAUCAAAAAAUAUAGAUGAAGAAAAAAGAUGAUGAAAUUACAAUGUUAAAAUAUGAUUACACUGUUUUUAAAAAAAAUUACACUGUUUUAAUAAAAAUUGCACUAUUUGAUAUACAAAUUACACUCUUUUAAAAUUAAUUUUACACUCUUUAGAUUAAAAUUACACUCUUUAAGAAAAUUUUGCACUAUUUCUUUUUUUUUUUUUUCUUUUUCUCUUUCUCUUCUUCUUCUUCUUCCUCCUCAUCCUCCUUCGCAUCUCCUCCUCCUCCUCUGUCGCCACUGACACCGCCGCCUCCACUACGUCCUUCAACUUCGAGAUCUCCGGCGAGCACUCCUUGAAGGACACCUCGUCGUUCUCCGCCGCCACCGCUGCCCACGCCGCGAUCCCCUGCCUCCGAGUCUCUAUCUCUUUCUCCAUCUCCGGCCCCGCUCCCUCCGCGGCCGCCGCAUCAGACGACCGAGCCGCCGCUGCCGCCGAGAUGGAGAAGAUGCUGGGGGACGCCGCAUCUUCUCCUUAAUGCUUAUUAACUUGUUUAUUUAUUGCAUACACAAUACUACACUGUACAAAUGCUUAUGUAUAUUUUCAAUAGAAAAAAAAUGAGAAAAAAGAAAAGAAAUGAAAAUAUAUUACCAACCAUUAAUGCUUCCUAAAGAAAUGACCAAGAAUUAAACAAAAUCCCACUUGAGCAUUUACCAUGUAACAUACAAGUUUUUAUUUCCUUAAUUUCUCUAAAUCGCAGGAAAAAAAAAUGGAGGAUUAACAUACAUACAACUAGUUGUAACAAGGCGUCGGCGAUGGCUCGGUCGUCGGGGGCGAGAAGAGUCAUCUUGCGGAGGGGCGCGAGCUCGACGAGGUGGGCGCGGAUCGCGGCUGCGGCCACGAUGUAGCGGCCGCUGUGAGCGAGGCUCGCCGCGGCGUCCCCCAGCAUCUUCGAACCGUCUUCUUGCCGCGGAGUCCCCCAGCAUCUUCGAACCGUCUCCUCGCCACUCUUUUUCGAACCGUCUUCUUGCCGCGUCACGCGCUCGAUCUCCUCCGCAAUCGGGGUCCUGGCCGAGUCAGUGUCGGCAGCGUCGAGGGCCAGGCGGAGCACGGCGAGGCAGUCGGCGAGGUCGAGGGCCUCACGGCUCUAACGGGGGUGGAAAGAGAAAUGGUGUAAGGAGGAGGAAGAAUGAGGAAGAUGGGGGAAAGGAGAAAUAGCGUAAAUUUCAUCUUAAUAGUGCAAUAUUCGUCUAAAGAGUGUAACUAUUGAUUCCAAAGAGUGUAAUUUUUACUUCAAAAUGUGCAAUUUUAUCUAAAACAGUGCAAAUUUUUUUUAAAAUAGUGUUGUUUUAUUUAACAGUGCAAUUUCAUCUUUUUCUUCAUUCUUCUAUGAUUUUUGAUCAUUUUUGAGGAGAAAUAGUUUAACAAGAGAAAAAACAGUGCAACAAGAGGAGAAGCAGUAUAAAUAUCUCUUAAAGGAGUACAGUUUAAGAUAAAAAUAGUGUAACAAGAGGAGAAAUGGUGCAACAAGAGAAGAAACAAUGCAACAAGAGGAGAAACAAUAUAAAUAUCUCUUAAAGGGGUGCAGUUUAAGAUAAAAAACAGUAUAACAAGAGAAAAAAUUCUGCAACAAGAGGAGAAACAGUGCAAGAUUCGUUUAAAGAGUGUAACUUUCAUCUUAAUGGAUGCAUUUUACAUCUGAAAGAGUGCAAUAAGAAGAGAAACAGUGUAAAUAUCUCUCAAAGAGUGUAAUUUUCGUUUAAAAGGUGUAAUUUUCAUCUUAAAGCUCCAGUUUACAUCUUAAGUAGUGCAAUUUAUAAUUUUUUUUGCAGUUAAUGAUGCAAUUUCAUCUCCAUCCUUCUUUUUAUAUAAUUUUUUAUCUUUACUUUUUUCUUUUUUUUCUAUAAUUUUUUUUUGUCACCCUCUCUGCCAACAGUCACAGUGCCGGCGACGACGCCGCUAAUGACCCUCCGCUCCGAGGCUGCAGCGCCGCAGUGACCUCCACGGUGUCGGCGUCGGCACCGGCGAAAAUGUAUCGUUGUUGGAGGCGACGGAGAAGGAGGGAGAGGAAGAGGCGAGAAGGGCGGGGAAGAGCGAGAGAGGCGUCGUCGUCGGAGACGGUGGAGGAGAGUCGGGAAAGAAAAGAAAAGAAAAAAAUAUAAAAAAAAAGUCGCGGCGCGGCCUUGGCGAGGUCGAAGGUGAGGAAGGUGGAGGGUGCGUGGGCGAGGGCAAGGGCGAGGGCGAGAGCAUGAGGGUGAGAGACGAGGCGGACCGUUUUCGCCUCCGCCUCUGCCUUUGUUACUUUUUUCGGCGAGAAAAAAAAAAAAGAGAGAAACGAAGAGGAGAGAGAAAGAGGAAAGAGAAAAAGUAAUAAGGGUAUUUUGGUCAGUUUGCUGAAAAAACGGACCGAAUCUGCAAAAACAAAAAAGGUGGCCCAGUUUUGCAAAAGCCCAAAAUAAGUGGAUUUUUUAUGCAAAUUGGCCUAUAAUAAAUAAUAUUCCUAUAUAAUUAAUAAAAGGAAUUUGAGACAACUUAAUUAAUUUUUUUAUACGUAAAUCCUUACAAAUACAUAAUUUGACAGUUUUUGGAGGCAUACGUGGCGAAUUUUUGUGCUUUCAUAUCUUGCACCAACGGGAAGAAUCCAAAUGGCUUCUUGGCUCCUUUCCAAGGUUUGACCAGGUCAAGACAGCUCCUUGGCUACUUCCCAAGGUUGAAACAGAUUGGACCAAAAAAUUUCCUCCUUUCUAAGGUUUGACCAGGUCAAGACAGUUACUCCCUCUCUCCUCUUCCCGAGAUUUUUUGUCUCUCUCUUCUUCUACAGGUAGCCCCCCCUCUUAUCUCUCUUCCUUACUUAAGAUGGCCUAUUUCUCUCUCUCUCUCUCUCUAUAAUCCUCUUUCUUUUUUCUCUCAUCCAGUUAGCUCAUUCUUUCUCUCUCUUCUCCUCUCCCCUACUCUCUCUCUCUCUCUUCCCUUCUUCUCUCUAUCUUAGCCCCCUCACUCUCAUCCUAUUAUUCGCACCCACUGUCGUUUCGGCAACAAGUGGCGACCAUCUCCCGCCUGCUCUUUGGCCGCACCGACAAUGCCAUCAAGAACCACUGGAACUCCACCCUUAAGUGCAAGUACGUGGCCCCCGCCGCCGUCGCGAUCGACUCCGCCGUCGCCGCGCCGGAUUUCGGAGAUGACGAGGCGCUGCCGCCGCGGUUGCCAAAGCAAGCCAGCAACGUCGGGCCCGCCGUGUCGGCGGAGCUCUGCCUCAGCCCCGGCAGCCCUUGCGGCUCGGAUCUCAGCGACUCCACCCACCACACCUACCCCUUCGCCGCUUCGCCACCCAGAAUGGCGACGGUGGCGCACGUGUACCGGCCGGUGCCGAGAACAGAAAAAAAAGGAAAAAAAAAAGAGAGGCAUGAAGUAUAACUUCACACCUUCUUAUCUAUUUUUACUUUUUUUAUUUCUGAUAUUAUAUUUUUUCUCAACAGAAAAGCUCAAAAUAUUUUUUUUUAUAAUAAAUAGGAAUGAUCACAUGCUCCACAACUUUUUUUAGGCAUGUAUUUUUCUUCUUAAACCUCUUUGUAUUUACUUUUUUUUAACUAUAAAUUUUUUUAUUUUAUUUUUCUACUUAACUGUUUUAUAAUAAUAUAAAAUUAAUCGUUAACUGCAGCGAAGCGCGGGUUCUAUACUAGUUAUGAUAAUACAACAAUAAAAUCAUAGAGUAAGAAAACUAUUAAUACUCAAGAAAUCAAUUCUUUUUAUAUUUUAAAUAUGCAAACUAAAUAAAAGAGAUACAAAACAUAAUUAAUCAAUUUUUAUCGCAUACUAAACAUGUAAGCUUCUGUAGCAGCCCACAGUAUACCUUGCGAAAGGCCCUGAAUUAUUGGAGUUGCAGAGCUUGACAAAGAUUCAAUCACCUUCAGCAAACUCCAAUGGCCACCGUGUUGCAUCAACCCACUUUGUCAUUCGGCAUGCCUUCUUCUUUGGAUAGGCCCUCGCGAUCUCGCCCUUUUUCUGUAGUUUUGAAGUGAAUUAGAGUGCCAUGGGCUGUGGCCUCACUCGUCGACUGUGCGUGGGGCCGACAGUUAUCUUCUUAUCGCUAGCUCAAAUGGGCUUAGAUUCAUGAACUCGCUCAGCUGCAAAUUGUAAGAGAACUGAGCCACAUUACGAUAGUGCACCAAGUUCUUCUAGUGGGCACCCGCACAGUGUCAUAGGUAUUCCUUCAACAGGGUGUUCACCCGCUCUAUUUGCCCGUCCAUCUGUAGGUGGACACUGGUGGAGAAUAGCGACUCCGACCCUAAGAUCUAAAAUACCUUUGUCCAGAACUUGCCCAUAAACCUGGAUUCACGGUCGGUCUUCGGGAUCCCUAAAGCUUCACUAUAUGGCUAAUGAAGAGCCACGCCACUUCUUCUACCGUGUAAUCCGCUGGUGCCAAAAUAAAGGUUCCAUACUUGGAGAAUCGAUCCACCACCACGAGGAUGGACCCUAACGCCCCUACCUUUGGCUAGGUGGAGAUGAAGUCCAUUGAGACUCACCCACAGAUGCUUCGGUGUAGGUAAUGACUCGAGAAUGUCGCCGGGCCUCUAGUGCUCAACCUUAUCUUGUUGGAACACAAGGCAAUUCUGCACAUACGCCUCCAUAUCUUCAUGCAUUUGAGGCCAAUAGUAUGCAUCCUCCAGUAUGCGAAAGUUCGUUUCUGCCCAGGAUGUCCUAACUACUUGGAAUCAUGGCAUUCUUUUAUAAGCUCUCGACGAAGAUUGCCCUACUUGGACACAUAGACGUGACGUCCCUUGCUAAAGAGCAACCUACCACUAAGCGAAAACAGCUAUGCCUUGCCCUCCUUGACGAGCCGCACGAGUUCUUUGGCUAAAGGGUCCUCGCAAGUCCUUUCACGGAUUUGCUCCCUAAUCGCCCCUUGGAGCUCGCACACUGCAGCCAACUCCACCUUACAACUAAGUGCAUCAGCCACGUGAUUCUUCUUCUAGUGUUUGUAUUAGAGCUCCGUGACGAACUCCGCCUAGAAGUCUUGCUAUCUCGCCUGCUUAGGUGAAACCUUCUUUUGGGUUUGGAAGUAGCUCGUGGUGCUAAUGUUCGUCUGCACCACGAACUUGAUCUUGAGAAGGUAGUAAUGCCAAGUCCUCAAGAAUGCACCACGACGAUCAUUUCCUUCUCCUAAACAAUGCAUCGCCGCCCAAUGUCAUUCAGCUUGCGGCUCUUGUAGGUGAUGGGUUGCCCAUCCUACAUGAUAAUACCGCCAAUGGUAAAGUCCGAAAUAUCUAUAAGCACUUCGAAUGGACUAUUGCAAUCAAGAAGUCGUAGUACUGGAUCAUCCGUCAUCGCCCACUUAAGGUCCUCGAAUGCCUCCGCGCACUAACCAGUCCAAUCCCAUGGCUAGUUCUUCUUUAGUAGGUCUGCCAACGGAGCCACUCGUGUAGAGUAGCACACAAUGAAGCGGCGAUAGUAGUUGACGAGUUUGAGAAAGGCUUACAGUUCAUACACUAUCAUGGGUGUCCCCCACUAGUAGAUUGCCCACACCUUUCGGUGGUCCAUGUGGAGUUGCCCCUGGCCCAUCUAUUGGCCAAGGAAGUGCACCUAAUUCUUCAUGAUGGAGCACUUCUUUUUCUUGAUAAAAAGCUGGUUCUCUCGCAGUACAUGAAAGAUGGUCCAUAGAUGCUCGACAUGCUCCUUCAAUGUGUUGACACAACGAUGUCGUUCAGCUGCACACUACCAUGAAGUAACUGAGGUAAGGGUGGAAUAGCUUGUUCAUAAGAGUGCAGAAGGUCGCCGGCGCAUUUGUCAGGAUGAAUGGCAUGACAAGGAACUCUUAAGCCAUGUACCUCAUCACGCGUGUGGUCUUCUCCUCGUCUACUUCCACAAUUCAGACUUGAUAUACCCUGAGUGGAGAUCGAGCUUGGUGAAAUACUUCACCCUACCUAGCUGGUCAAAGAAAGCUGCAACCAAAAUGAUAGGGUACUUAUUUUUUACUAUUGCCUUAUUGAGUGCCCUCUAAUCAAAAUAGAGUCAUAGUCUUCCGUCGCUCUUCUGUUAGAAUAGUAUUGAUGCUCCAUAGGGUGCCUUCGGCAGUCUUAUAAAGCUCAAUCGAGGAGCUCUUGCAAUUGGUUUGCAACUCCUCGAGCUUCAACUGGACUAUUCUAUAUGGUGCUGUAAUUGGUGGCUUGGCUUCUAACUCGAGGUCAAUUGCAUAGUCCACUUCCCGCUUAGGUAGGAGUCAUUUGGGUAGUUCCUAAGGCAUAACAUUUUAGAAUUCCCUCAAGACUGCAUCAAUUUCUAUCGAAAAGACCUUCUCAAGGCCCUCAUCGUUACCUCGCAAAUGGCCGCAAGGUAAGUCAUCUCGCUAUUGUAGUGUCCAUAGGGUUUAGUUGACGGAGUGACUACAGUAUCAGCGACUAGUCGACACAUCUGGAGACUGUCGGACUGAGUUGGAGUCGUUUUUGCACAAAAUGGAUGCACAAAUGGACUUGGCGAACUCAAAUAAGCAAAACUGGUAUUUUGCCAGUUUAGGGCGCCCAGAAAUGGGUUUAGGGCACCCAGAUCUUGAGUGUUGUUUUGUAUUAGAUGCUGCAGCCAUUUCGGACCCUAUUUAAGGCACCCGAAAAUUGGAUCCGAAAAUUCACAUCGUGAAUAUCGAUUGCGUUGACACGUGGGUGUGGUAGGUGAGCUCCGCCGAAACCGGAUAGCGGUGUAGCUGACCGUCGGACGGAGGAACCGAGGUACUGUUUGUGUAGGCUGAAAGUUCUAGGGGCCCAGAACUGGGUUUAGGGCGCCUAGAUCUUGGUUUUUCUACAGCAGUGCAGGUUAGUAAAGGUUAUCCUUAAGGCUCAAUGCACCUAACCCCUACCUGUAUAAAAAGCUGUGGACGACCUCAGUGAACCCUUUUCACCUCUUCUUCAUAGGAAGCCUGCAAUUUUGCAUUCUAGCCCCUCAAUUACUCCAAAUUUCACAAUUCCACCUUGAGGAUUGCUGAUUUAGCAGAAUUACAGCAGCGACCUUCGGCGUUUUGGCUCGUGUGCGACGUAGGAAGCUCUGUUUGCCACGAAACUUAGUUUGGUGGAUUUUGGACUUCAAGACGAAUUCGUGGAGCCCAUUUUGAUAGAAUUUGGUUGAGGUUAGCUUGGUCAAUUCUGCGUUUUUCUCUGCUGCUGGUAGUUUUAAGCUGAAAUUGGGAGUUUUGGGUUUUCUUGAUGCUAUCUUUGGAGGAAGCUGGAUCUUGGACCUGAGGGUGAUUCUCCAUCAUUGUACACUGGUUUUGGGACCUUCCUCACCUGAUUUGAAGAUUGUUAGGUGAGUUUUGACAUUGGAAUUGGAGGAAUGAGCUUACGUGCUGAAAUUUGAGGGUAAUAAUGCAAGUUUUGGUGUUUUUGGUGUUUUGAUCCUUGAAGGAGUUUGGUUGCUGGUUCUAAGAUUUAGGAUAGUUUCAGCAGUGGUUCCAGCAACUUCGCGAUCUCGUGCUGCCGUGGAUUAGCGCUAGAGGUGGGUUAAUCAUCUAAUUCUCCUCCUAAGUGUAUGCAUAGUCAACAUGUAUAUUUUCAGCCUUUGUAUAUCAUAUUUUUAGCUCGAAUUCAUCGAUUAGUAUGUUAAAUGAAAUCUGAAUUUGGAGUAUACUGUAGUGAGUUAGAUAAAUUAUACAUGUUGGACUUGGAAUUGACUUAGGAGAAAACUAGCGAUUCUACACUAUCAUAUGUUAAACUAUCAGAUUUAGCUCUAGGAGCCGUAGUUUGUUUGUAUCACCACAGUUUGUGUGUAGUGGAUACCCAUAUUAGUGUAGAAUGCAUUACGUUCGUGCUGGGAUGUCGAGCUUGAGUAAUAUUCAAUUGUAGGUUCUACACUAUCAUUUCUAAAAAUUAUCAGAUAGCUCCUUAAGCUAUUGUGCUUCGUAUCCAGGCUGUUAGUGCGCAUUUGAUACUCAAAUAGCUUCUGAAGCUGUUGCGUUUCGUAUCCACGCUGUUAGUGCCCAUUCGAUACUCAGAUAGCUUCUGAAGCUGUUGCGGUUCGUAUCCACGCUGUUAGUGCGUAUUUGAUACGCGGAUAGCUUAGGAGCUGUAGUUUAUUUGUAUCGCCGCAGUUUGUGACGGUGGAUAUCCAGGAUAGUGUAGAAUGCAUUUAUACUCGUGCUGGGAUGCCAAGCUUAUUUUUUACAGCAGUGUUUAGGCUGUUUCGAACUGUUAGGUGCCGUUGAGGUUGACGAUUGACCCAGUUUGCUAUUUUUGCAUCAGAUUGUGCCGAGGGCACGUGAGUUUGGUUGUUAGACCAGUUAAACUCUGUUUACUUGACUAUAGCCUGUGAGAGCCUGAUUGAGCUCGGCAGAGAUACACUUGCAUACUCGAUUAGGUAGCACCCACGAGUGCCACUCCGAAAUCGGGCUUUGUGCGUUUGCAUUGGUGUCGUUGUGUCCUGGUUGGACUUGCUCUCCACGGACGACUUAGCAUGGGGGUAGCAGUAUAGCUUCGACAAGCGGGAUGAGUGUAUUCACAGUCCCUGGGGCUGGUGUAUUCACAGUUCUUAGUGAGAUUGGGUCAGAGAUUGCAUUAUUCUAUGAAUAAUUAGUGUUGGAUCAUGAUAAUAUAGUGGCAUAUAGCUGUAGAUUGUUUUCAGUUCCUUUACUAUCAUUUGUGCAUACUUUCUGUAGACUUGGUAGGAGCCGAUGAGAUUGAGGGCGGUACCUACUGAGGACUACUUUUUUUGCAGUAGUUUUCACGCCCAGUUGUUACCCCUCUUUUUGCAGAGCCUUCUUCUUCGGCUGCUGCUAUCGCGGAUAUCGAUCGUGGAAAGGGAGUCGCGAGCUAGAUCCCUUCCCGUUUUGCUGCUGACUUAGAGAUAUACCAGCUACAGGUAGUUGUAGUUUUUAGUUCUUAUACAUACUAAUGUUAGAUCCUCGCUGGAGCGAGUGUUUUUGUACCAGGAUGCUAUGUAUGUAUAGUAAACCAAUUUUAUUUAUAUAUUAUUCUUUUUAGCAGCUCUAUACUACUGGUUGUAGUGUUGUAUGAUUACAGGUACAAGUACAGCUAUCGCUUCGUAUAUAGAAAAAAUUUUUAUGUAUUCGGCGGGUCUGUUAGCGUGUCCGGAAAAACGAGUAAUCCGGGGCGUGAUAGCUAUGCCCCAUCCCUUUCCACAAUUGUAAAAUGAAAAGGGCCUAGGUUGUCGCUAGCUCGAUGCGGCUAGUCGGAACCAUGCAAAGGGCUGCCUCCUCCAUGAUGCUUAACUCCAAGGUAUGGCAUCGACAUUGCCUUCGACGAAGCUAGGAAGUUGCCUAGUUGUCAUUUUGUUCACAACAAUCUCCCCUACCUUUGGCCUUGCCCACCUUAGGUGGUUUGCCAUGAGUAUGAUCUUCCUUCUCAUACUCUAGUAGUUUCUUUGCUAAGGCAAUAGUGGAGCUCACAUCCUUAACGUCAUGUCCUACGAGCUCUUUGUUCGCCCAUGGUUGGAACCUAUCAAGAAAGAAGAAUAGUUGAUCCUCUUUAGCCAUAUUGGUGGUAGCUUGUCACGCCCUGGGCCCAGCGGAAGCCCGCUGGCGCGUGCACAGACCCGCCGUGUACACCAACAAACACAAUGCACAUAAGGCGUCUACUAAAUCAAGAAAUGAAUAUAGAAGUCCUAACAAGGCUAUCAGAGUGAGUACAAUAAAAAAAUCACUAGAGUUCAAGCAUAAAGAGAUACAAAAAGUAAACAACUAAAUCCAAGAGUCCAACAUAGCUCUAAACCAAAAUACAUAAUACAUCUUUUCCAAAGGUGCAAAAAGGAAAGAUGACAUCGGGUCCAACUAAAAUAUCUCCGUAGGGACUCUAGCUAGUCACUAACCCCUUGCCUCGAUCCCUAGCCACUCCCGAUACGAAUGGCUCUACAACCACAACAAAAAUGGAGGGCGUGAGAACUAUUAGAAAUAGUUCCCAGUGGGCAAGUCAAUGACCUCAGCAAAAUACUCCACUAGGCUAAAAAUAGGCAUGCUAUAAAGGUAAAUGAAUAAGCAAAUAUGAAAAGCAAGUAAUUAAACAAGAUUAAACAUAGUCAUGCCUCUACUACGAGUAUAACUAAUAUGUAUAUGAUGUUCUACUUUUAUUUGAUCAUCUAUAUGUCAAUGUCGAUUUACAUGCAUGUUCAAUUGUAUGCCAUUGUCCAUUACGUGCAUGUUCAACUAUAUGCCAAUAAAAGUUUACAUGCAUGUUCCAAUGUCCAUGAUGCUAUAAUGAGUGAUUAAGCUUUUCAUUACUAAUCUAAACUUGCAUUAUGCCUAUCAAUAUAGGUACAAUAUACUACCACUAGAGUAUCAACGCUAAGAAUGACCAACAUAUAGUCCACAAUAUGCACUAUCAUGCAUGUCUAAUAGUCCAACUAGGAUACACUCUCUAGUAGUAGUAGUAGUUUUCACAUUGUACUUUAAGUAUCAAAGUUCAAUCCUCGUCAUGGAUCUACACGUGUGUAGUCCGGCUUGCGCCGUGCCUAAAAUGGCCCCGUAGUAGUCAACAUUCCCACUUUAGGAAUGAGCCUUCCCCACGGCAUCCCAUUUCGGCGCCCAAUUCUGCACUGGCGAGCUUGUGUCGCAUAGGCUAUCUCCGGAGUGCCGGCUUGUGGGGAGCGACCCUCACAAGCAUGUAUGAAUGAGCACAAUGACAAGCAAGCGUGAUCAAUAGUAUUCAGCUCUCGGUCAUCAUGUCUAAAGCAUGGAAUAAGUACCAAUGACCCCAAAGGUCCGAUAUAGUAUUUCAUUGUCAAGAUUUAUCAUUUAGUAAUUCAAAUGUCACUGCAUGAUAAGUAACUAGUUCAUAAGCACAUAACACUUGUCAUUAUCCUAUCUAGGAUAGUUCACUAUUAUUCAAGUCUCAAAGAAAGUUUGCACUUAAACUGUUCCACUAUAGCCAAGUAAAUUCCUUUCUCAUGCCAUAUGCAUAGGUACUGUAAGAUAUGUCGAUGUCCAUGAUGCACGCCAUGCAUAUACUUUUCUACCAAUGCCUCCACUAUAUGGAGUAAUAAACUAUCAUGCAAGUGUUUUCAUACAAUUAAUGCAAUAUGCAAAUAUCCAUCUUGUCAUUUGCCCAAGGGCAUUCCAAACACUACCCUCAUGUCAAGUUCUAGUUGUGCAACUAGGUUAAAUGCUCCAAUCUUAGUCUCAUGAUGACCUUAUCAUGCACUAUGUCACUAUGUCACUAUGUCACAAUUAUCUUGUUUACAACAAGUGUAAUGUUAUUAUGCAAGAAUAUAUUAAAUUCCAAUCACCUUGUCUAUAACAAGUAUGACGUUGUCAUCAUGUUAGUUAACCAUUAUCUAACGCGUUCACUAGGUACCCCCAAGGAGUUAUACGAUCAUUCAUACUCUAACAUGCUUCCUAUAGUUGCAUAAGAUAGAAAAGUCAUCAAGUAAUGCUAGACCAUGUACAAGACUACAUAUUUGCCUCUACUACAUAGAGGACAAAUUUUUCACCAUACAUAACAUGUAUGUAUUAUGCUUUCAUAAAUUAUAACAUGUCAUUUUGAGCAUUGUUUAGUAUCUAAUUAUUUCUCGAAAUCAAAAGGUAGACAUAGGGGGGAGUUCACCCAUUUCGGUGAGGUCAAACCUACCAAAGCUCUCUGGACUCCUUUCGUUUGUACCAACGAAGAUGUCCACUAGCCUCCUAACUUCCUAGAGAAAAUUCUAAGAGAGUUAGACAAAGCAAACAAACACCCUAAGUGCUCAUCUAAGAAGCAACCAAAGAAUAAGGCAAAACUCAUCUAAAGUGUAGAAAAACCCUCUCAAAUUCCAAAAGGUGGCUAGAUCACUUCAAAUCUACCCCAACGAGUUGUUCUACACCUAUCAAUUCCAACUAAAAAUCCUCAAAUCAAAAAUCUCCAAAAUAAACCCUAAAUUCUCAUUUCUAGGUUUUCAUCUUGCUAAAUCCAUCAAAACAUGGAUAAAAAAGGGAAAAUAUGCUACUAACCUCUUUAGAAGCCUCAACCUAGACUUAAAGUGAGCUAGGGUUGAAGAUCUCUCCUCCAACAAGCUCAACACCAUGUUCCCAAGCUUCUCCCAAGGUAGAAAUGGCACCAAGAAGCAAAAAGAAGUAAAAGAGGAAGAUUAAACCUCUAAAAAAACUCAAGUAAAAAAAAGCUUAAAACCCAAGGAAAAGGAGUGGAGACCUACCCUCCUUCCUCCUCUGUCGCAGCACAAAGCCCCUGUCCAAGGGGUAGGGGCGUAUAUAAGGUAUUGCGACAAAAGCGAAAAGAUCCCUCAAAAACUGCCAAACUGCAGUUUGCACUGUGUACCGGUACACGAAAAAGUGUACCGGUACAAAACCACGGCACGCACAAACCCGAGCCUCGGGUUGAUAGAAAACUGCUAGUUGUACCGGUACAAACCCGAUGUUGUACCGGUGCAACAUCCUGUUCCGAUACAAGCUCAAUGCUGUAUCGGUACACAGCUCUGCAAAAUCCAAUUCGAGGACAGCCAACAAUCUUCACUUUUGAGACUUUGGCACUAAACUUUAAACCUCGAUUCUCGGGAUGCGAGACAUAGGUCGGAACACUGUCUACGACCCUCCAGGAUACCUGGAAAAACUCAAAUCACCUAUCGAACACUUGAACCCGCAAUUUGCAAAAGUUCAGUGUGUUACAUAGCUAGCAUCAGUUUAGAGUACUCCUUGACAUACUUAUUGAGUGUCCUAAUAUGCUUGUGCUGUGGAAGUUGCCUCUUCACAAGAUCUAGUUAAAACUGUGCCUUGAGCUCGUGCAAAAAGUCCUCCUAGCUCGCAUUGGCCUUCUCAUCCUCUGUCGCUCGCUGAUGCCACUAUAGAAUUAUUCACUGUUGAUGAGGUACAUGGAAGCAGUUUAGACUUUCUCUUCCUUGUUCUCUAAUCUUAAUGCCUUGAGGUAGUGCUCUAUGUGCCAUAAGAAGUUAUCAAUUUCUUCUCAUCUUGCAUGCCCUUGAAGCACUAGAGUUCAGGGACAUGGACCUUUGGGGUAUACUCCUUCUAUGCCUCAGCACCAUGAGCCACAUCCUUUUUGAGGCUCAUCAUCCAUAUCUUGAGGUCCUUGGCUGCAUCGACCCUAACGACAAGUUCGUCUACCGGCACCUUUCGCUUAUUCUCGUGGUGAGUGAGGUCAUCCUGAAACUGCUCAAGUUAUCAGCGAAAGGUCAUCAUGGUAGCCAUAGCGAGGUCCUUCGUAGUAUGAAGCCCAUACUUCCAUUAGCUCUAACUGUUGGGAUAGAAUAGAAUAUCGCUUUUCCAGUCUCGCAACAAUAUCCUUCAUCAAGCCUACGUGGUCUUUGAGUGAAACGAACUCCCUCGCAUGGGUCUAUGGCUUUUUUCCUCUUGCCUCGCUUGGACUGCUUGGGCUGAGGGAUUAUGUCAACGAUGGAAGCAUUUGAUGAUGACAUGGUUCCUACUUCUCGAACCCGCCCUGAUACCAAUUGUUAUGGACUUGAUUAGUCACAAUCGCUUAUCAAGUUUGUACGGUGCUCACCUUCCUUCGCCUCUCUAGUUGCUAUUCCGGACCUAUUCGUUCUACGACUCAGUAUAAGAUAGAGAGUGUGGAGGAAGAUAGAUGUAUAUUGGUAUGUACAAGCAAGAAAACUAAAUACAUACUCAUACCCAAGAUCAUAAACAAAAUAAAAUAUAACUCACAGAGCAUCAUAGAGAAGAAAUUCUUGAUCAACCUGCGAAAGCGAAAAAUUCAGCUGUAAUGUGAACGUUACCAACUGAACUCGAAUAAUUUGGUUUCUCCUUCUUUCUCAGGUACUCUUCCUUUGGUGUGAAAUAGAUGGUAAUUAUUCUUCAUAAUGCACAUGAGAAUGAGGCAGGACUAGUACCCCCUUUAUAUAAAGUUUAGAUUGACUUUUCAUCAAAGUCUUAUUAGGAUUCUAUUUAACUUAAAUAGAUAGGAAAGAGAUUAGAUAUACCAUAUCAAGUAGUUCUAUAUCUACUAAGAAUGACCUUUAUUUAUUUUAAAUCUAUAUUUGAACAUGAUUAAUUGGGCCAUAUUUAUAGAAAUCCCAACAAUCUCUCACUUGGCUUAUAUUAAUCAUAUUUCAUGAACGGAUUUUCUAUAUUCCAAACUUUAUUGUGUAUUAUUGAAAACUUUAUGGUCAAAUACCUUAUAACUUACGUGAUCCUUAGCUCAAAUUAAAAGACUAUAAUGAUAGGAACUAUGGUAGUCCACCUCUUCAUAUUGAAAAUUUUCUCCCAUAAUUAUCAUAUCAUCUUCAUCUCCUAACCAAAUACUUUACAUGACACAACUUUUUGAAUAAACUUAAAAAUAUAUAUCCAUUCGUUAAUAGACAAAACUUUACGUCUAUUAAAUGGUCAAACACAGAUGCAUCACAACUGUAACUUUAAUUAAAGAAGAUAAAAAUGUUUAAUCUUAUACAUCAAAAGAACUAAUCAGACUCAUACUACUAACAUGAUCUGUAUAUGACCCAGGUGCUAGCCCCUCGGUCAUUGGGUAUAAAAUCAUACACUACUAGAAAAUUAGUUAUUAGUGACAUUUAUUUAUGCCGCUAAAAGAUCAACGAAUGCCGCUAAAAGUUUUAACAGCAUUUGACACUAAAUGCUGUCUAUACCAAUGUUGCUAAAAGUAUUAGCAGCAUUUAUAAUAAAUACCGCCACUAUAAAUUAAUUAGUGUCAUUAGAAACAUACCGCUAAAAGGGAUUAAAUGUUAAUUUUAAGUUGUUUAUUAGCGGCACAUAAAUAUAAUGCCACUAAUACAAAUAUAAGAUUUUAGAAAAAUCAAAAUUUAAAAUUUUAUUUUGAAUUUUUUUUAGAGAAAGGUAACAUGCUACUCGCUUUAUUUAUUUCUUUUAGAAAUAAACUUAACUAGAAAUGUGAAUAAACUAGAAUUCAAACUUGAGACCUCGAGUACCAACCACCAAGCCCUUUACCACUUGUACUAAGAACUAUCAGUUAUAUAUAUAUUUGAAUUUUUUAAAUUUUAAGACUUCAAUUUAAAAUUUUAAACUUUUAAAUUUUAAAUUCUAAAUUUAGAUGCUAAAUUUAAAUUUUAAAUUUUCAAAUAUUAAAUUAUAAGUUUCAAACUUUGUAGUUUUAUUAUUUAAAUUUUAAAUUUUAAAUAAAUUUAAAAUUUUAAAAUGGGAUAUAUUUAUAAUUAUAUAUUGAUUAGUGAUGAUAAUUAGCAAUAAGUCCUGCUACUUUAUUAUAUUUAACGACAUUUAUUAAUUUAUGCUGCUAAUUUAUCCUAUUUUGCAGUAUUAAUAAUAAAUUACUGCUAAAUUAUUAAAUCUACAGACAAUUAUCAAGUAAUACUGUUAAAUAUAUUAAUUAACAUAAUUUAAAUAAAUAUUGCGGAGUAAAUAUUGCGGCAUUUAGCAAUAAGCGCUGCUAAUUUGUUACAUUUAGUGUCAUUUUUUAUAAAAUGCUGGAAACUUUAGCGGCAUUUACUAAUUUAUGCUUCUAAUUUAUCUUAUUUUGCAGUAUUAAUAGUAAAUUUCUGUUAAAUUAUUAAAUAUAGCGGCAAUUAUCAAGUAAUGCCGUUAAAUAUAUUAAUUAGCAUCAUUUAGAUAAAUGUUGCGAAGUAAAUGCCGCUAAAUCAUAAUUUUGUUGUAGUGACAGUUGGUACUAAUGUAUUCAAUCGUAACAUAAUCUUCUUCUAUCUUCUCUCUCAUAAUAAGAUAUUUAGUGUUAAAGUGUUUACACUCUGCUAUAAUUUUAUUGUUAUUGGUAAAGAAAACUGCAGCUGUACUAUCACAUAAAAUUCUUGUUGGUCGAGUAAUGGAGUCUGCAAUCUUUACGUUUUUGAUAAAAUUUUUAAGCCAAAUAGCCUUGAUGUGGUCUCGUAACAUGCAAUGUACUCUGCAGCCAUGGUCGAAGGGGCAGUAACACUUUGUUUGCUGCUUUUCGAAGAAAUCGCUCCACUAGCAAGCAAAAAAGUGUACCUAGUUGUAGACUUUUUGGUCUCUGAGCAUACAGCAAAAUCGGAGUCCGAGUACUCGAUCAACUUCAAGUGAUCUGAUCUCCUGUAUAUCAACAUAUGAUCCAAAGUUUUCUUUAAGUAUCUCAUAACCUUCUUAGCAGCCUUCAAAUGCUAAAUAUCAUACCUGCCAAGUAAUCCAAUGGCAAAAGUAAUAUCUGGACGUGUGCAUGUUUGUGCAUACAUAAGACAGGAUAGAAACGAGCCGAUCUCGAGCGAGCUUACCUCAGCUCAAAUUCGGCUUGAAAUUAAUUUUGAGCCUAAUUUUAGGCUCAAGCUCGGCUUGAAAUUAAUUCGAGACGAGCACGAGCUAGCCUAAUUUCGAGUCGAGCGAGCUCGAGCCCUAAACGAGCCGCUUGAAAUUCUCAAUAUUGUACGAUCAAUAAUUUAAUUUGUAUAAAACAUUAUUUAUAUUUUGAUACAAAAAUAUAUCUGACAGUUCAAAAAACAAAAUAAUUAUAUGAAAAACGGUAUUAUAAUAUGAAGAAAAAUUACUUAUAAGUUGAAUAUCUAACCUUUUCAGUCUCGCAUGUCUUCUCUUCUGCCUUUAAUCUCCAUAUUAUUCUUUUUUAUUUAUGCAGUCAAAAAAUGAAUAAAUUAUAUAGGCAAAUAUUUGAUUAAACUAUCUAAUCAUAUAUAACUAAAAUUAAAAUUUUAUAUAAACAAUAAUUUUUUACCUUAAAAAUAUUCUGUAUAUUUUCUCAAACACACAACGAACUAAUGGCAAGAUAGGCAACGGCGGGCGCGUGCUGUUACUUGGUAACUUGGGAGGCUACAGGUUUGGCCAGUUGGGAUGAGAGACAGAGAAAGAGAGAGAGAGAGAGAGAGAACGAGAGAGAGAUUAGGGAUUUAGGGCUCUUUGAAAUAAAGAAAGGGAAAGAGUGUAAAUUUAGUAGGAUUUUGCCCUUUUGUUGGCAUAUUCGGUUUGUUUAAUUUUUAUGGGCAUGCAAUAUUGGCUCAAUUUUAACUAAACUUCGAUUACUUACUCAACCUACAUAUAAUUAAAAUAUAUUAUAUUUAUUUAUAUAUUGUUAAUUUUAUAUAUAGAGAGAGAGUAGGUCUUGUGUGCUAUUAGGAGCACGGAGGCCUCCGUGCUCCUAAGCCAUUUUCGAUGAUGGAGUUUCCGAAUCGACGAUCGGUUCUGUUAGACUUGAUCUAACGUAUUUGAAGUAUCUAGAAAAUAAUUUUUACAAUUUUUCGAUAUCAUUUAUCUAGCGAUCGAAAGGGUUCAAAAUCAACGGCUGAAAAUAAAAAUCUCACAAAAGUGGUGAUAUAGCACUAAAGUUUUCGAUCAGAGACAUUGAUCUUGCUGUAAAUAGUAUAAAGAAUUUUCUAUCAAAAUUUCAUAUGAUUUGAAUACUUUUACACCGUUAAACUUGCAUACGAUAUACCCAACCAUUAAAUAUUGUUGAUUUUAAACCCUUUCGAUCACUAGGUAAAUGAUAACGAAAAACUGCAAAAUUUAUUUUCUAGAUUUACCUCUUUUAUCAUUUUUAUCCGUUUGAUUAUACUAUUCAUGCAACCACCCACUCAACCCUAAGGGAUCCACAUCAUCCUAACCGUACAUCUUUUAAUCCAAGGGAAGAAAACUUAAUAAGACCAAGUCAUUGGUGCUAUUAAUAAUAUUCCAGCCUAUAUAUAUAUAUAUAGUGCGUCUGGUAUGCUUCUGGAAGUACGGAGCACUCCGUGCUUCCAAGUUGUUUUCAAUGUUCAGACUUUCGAAUCGACGAUCGGCUGCAUUAGACUUGAUCUAGAGUAUUUGAAGUAUCUAGAAAAUAAAUUUUGCGAUUUUUUGAUAUCAUUUGCCUAGUGAUCGAAGUGGCUCAAAAUCAACAGCUGAAAAUAAAAAUCUUACAAAAUAUGAUGAUAUGACAUUAAAAUUUUAGAUCAAAGUUAUUGAUCUUAUUUAUACAGUAUAAAGAAUUUUCUAUCAAAAUUUCAUGUGAUUUGGAUAUUUCUACACCGUUAAACUUGCAAACGGCUCACCACGGCCGUUAAAAUUAUUAAUUUUGAGCCCCUUCGAUCACUAGGCAAAUGAUAUCGAAAAAUCACGAAAUUUAUUUCCUAGGUAUUUCAAAUACUCUAGAUCAACUAUAAUGGAGCCGAUCAUCGAUUCGAAAGUCCGAACAUCGAAAACAACUUGGAAGCACAGAGGGCUCCGUGCUUCCAGAAGCAUACCAGCCCUCUCUCUCUCUCUCUCUCUCUCUCUCUCUCUAUAUAUAUAUAUAUAUAUAACUCUCUCUCUCCCUCUCUCUCUCUAUAUAUAUAUAUAGAGAGAGAGAGAGAGAGAGAGAGUUCGGCUACUAUGCUAUAGGUAGCACGAAGCGCUCCGUACUACCAAAUUGUUUUUGAUGAUGCGGCUUCCAAAUCGACGAUCGGCUCUGUUAGACUUGAUCUACACUAUUGAAAGUAUUUGGAAACUAAAUUUCAGAUUUUUUCGACAUCAUUUGCCUAGUGAUCAAAAGAUCUCAAAAUUGAUAAUUUUAAAGGCCGAUGUGGUGUGUUUGGGAGUUUAACGGUGUAAAACAAUCCAAAUAAGAUGAAAAUUUUAUAGAAAAUUAUUUUUACUAUUUAGAGUAAGAUCAGUAUAUCUGAUCUUGAAUUUAAAUCUUUUAUCAUCAUAUUUUAUGAGGUUUUUAUUUUCAGCUGUUCAAUUUUAGAUUAUUUGUUUGAUAGGUAAAUGAUAUCGAAAAUUAUGAAAUUUAGUUUCUAAAUACUUUCAAUAGUGUAGAUCAAGUUUAACGGAGCCGAUCGUCGAUUUGGAAGUCGCAUCAUCGAAAACAACUUAGUAGCACGGAGUGCUCCGUACUACCGAUUGUAUAGUAGCCUAGUUCUAUAUAUAUAAAAAAAUCAUUCGAGCUUUGCGAUCCGAGCUCGAGUGAGCCAAAUUAAUAUCAAGCCGAACGCGAGCCAACUCGCUUAUUUGCCGGCCCUACAUAAGACUACCGACUACAGAGGUAUAGAGUAUAUAUGUUUUUCAUCGGUUCAAUUUCUUAUUGGUUCUUAGGACAGUGAAAAGUAUUAAGGUUAUCUUUUUUUUAGACAGAAGUAUCACUGGGCUUAUAAUUAUGUACUUUAAAAUUUUUCAAAACUUUCUUUACAAAGGCCUUUUGACUAGUCUGAGUAAACUUUUAUGCCUAUCCCUUUUAAUUUCAAUACCAAAAAUAUAGGUGGCCUUACCUAAAUCUUUAAUUUUAAAAUUUUAGAAAAGAAAUUUUUUAGUAUUAUGUAAGAGCCUAAAUCAUUACUGACAAGCAAAAUAUCAUCAAUAUAAAGGAUUAAGAAAAUUAUUUUACUCCGACUAACUUUCAGAUAAAUAUAUUAAUUAAUAUUAUUUUUCUUAAAACCAAAGAUCAAGAUGGUUUGUUUAAACUUUUAGUACCAUUAUCGAGAGGCAUGUUUUAGUCAAUAUAUUGAUUUAUUUAGUUUGCAUACCAAGUGCUCCUUUUUCUUUUGUGAUAAUCCAUCAGGCUGACUCAUAUAUACCUCUUUAGAGAUCCCUAUUUAAAAAAGUAGUUUUAAUAUCUAUCUGAUAUAGCUCGAGAUCGAAAUGAGCAACCAGAGUUAUAAUAACACGAAAAGAUUUUUUUAUGUAUAUUGAAAAGAAAGUCUUUUUUAUAGUCAAUACCUUCUUUCUAACUAAAUCCUUUUGCCACAAGAUUGACCUUAUAUCUCUCUAUAUUAUCCUUAGAGUCCUAUUUGGUUUUAUUAACCCACUUGCAUUCUACGGGUUUAACUCCUGUAGGUAACUCAACAAGAUUCCAUACCUUAGGGCCUGUUUGUUUGGGUGAAAGUAGAGAUGGGUGAAGUCGUUUUCGGUUGUAAAUGAUCACUUCCGCUGUUUGUUUUGCCGUAAUAAAGAUACGGUUGAAACUGGAGUUACUCGAAACAGCGUAAUUGACUUCGGCCCAUCCCGGGCCACACUACAACAAAAACAGUGUAUAGCGACAUUUUUAAAUGUUGGUACAGGUCAAAAAAAGUGCUACUGGCUAAAUUACCGACACUUUUAAAAAGUGUUAUUGUCUGCCACCACGAAUGACGCACCUCGCACGGUCGAUGGAUUUUUCGGGGCCGUGGGGUAGUAUUCAUGAUUCAGAUGAGUAUUUAUAUGUAUGUGUGGGUAUCAGGUUUUGCGAGUCCAUGGCUUCCAAUAGAUGCAAGCAUCUACUGUUAAUUACCCCCUUGAGAUUGGGGCACCUUCGAUUAAGAGACCUUUAUAGAUUGGAUGAGAUGGAUCGUAUCUCGGUUUAUUGAAUCCUAAGUAUAUAUAUUAGGAUUCAGUUGGAUUUGAGGUUGAUUAGGCCCUAAGUAUAUGUAUUAAGACCUGAUCGAUAUUAAACUCUAUGUAUUUAGAGUCUAAUUGGUUCAUGAGAUAUGGGUAUGAGAUCUGGGUAUUCGUUCAUGGGAUUUGGGUAUUAGUUUAUGAGAUUUGGGUAUUGGUUCAUAGGAUAUGGGUAUUAGGUUGGAUGUAUGGUUCAUGGAAUUUAGUCCAUGAGGUUUGGUGUAUGGUUUAUGGGGUUUGGUCCAUGAGGUUUAGUUGUGGUUCAUGGAAUUUGGUCCAUGAGGUUUGGUUGGUUCAUGGGAUUUGGUCCAUGAAAUUUGGUUUUGGUUCAUGGGAUUUGGUUCAUGAACUUGGUUUUGGUUCAUGGGAUUUGGUCCAUGAGAUUUGGUUUUGGUUUUAUGUGUGGACUUGGUUUGGAUUUAUUUGGGUUCAAGUUUGGGUUCUGGUUUUAUUUGUGGACUUGAGUUUGGAUUUAUUUGGGUUUGGAUUUUGGUCUUAUUUGUGGACUUGGUUCAGGUUGGGUUUGGAUUUGAUUUGGGUUUGGGUUUUGGUUUUAUGUGUGGACUUGGGUUUGGAUUUUAUUUGGGUUUGGAUUUUGGUUUUAUGUGUGGAAUGGGUUCGGAUUUUAUUUGUGGAUUUGAUUUGGGUUGGGUUUGCGUUUGAUUGGGGUUUGGGUUUUGGUUUUAUUUGGGGAAUGGGUUUGGAUUUUAUUUGUGGACUUGGUUUGGUUUCGGUUUAUUUUGGUUUUGGGUUGGAUGUUUAUUUGGACUUGGUUUGGUUAGCUUUGGGCCGUUUGGCUUUGUAUGUGGACUUGGUUUGAUUUGGGUUUAUUUGGGUUUUGGGUUUUGGUUUGGAUGCUUAUUUGGACUUGGUUUGGUUAGGUUUGGCUUUGUAUGUGGACUUGGUUUGGUUUGGGUUUAUUUGGGUUUUGGGUUUGGUUUGGGUUUGGACUUGAUUUGAUUUAGGUUUGUAGGUGAACUUGAUUUGCAAUUUGGGUUCGCAUAUGAACUUAAUUUGCGAUUUGGGUUCGCAUAUGAACUUAAUUUGCAGUUUAAGUUUGUGUAUAGACUUGAUUUGCAAUUUGAUUUGGGGUCCGAAGAAAUCCCCUUUUGAUUUUGCAAUUUGAUUUGGGGUCCGAAGAAAUCCCCUGUUGAUUUUGUAAUUUAAUUUGGGGUCCGAAGAAAACCCCUAUUGAUUUUGCAAUUUAAUUUGGGGUCCGAAGAAAUCCCCUAUUGAUUUUGCAAUUGAAUUUGGGGUCCGAAGAAAUCCCCGUUUGAUUUGAAUUUGAAUUUGAUCUUCAAAUUUGAUUUGGUUUGGGGUCCGAAGAAAUCCCCGUUUGGUUCUAAUUUGGGGUCCGAAGAAAUCCCCGUUUUGAUUCCAAUUCGGGGUCCGAAGAAAUCCCCUUUUGAUUUUGAUUUGGGGUCCGAAGAAACGAGGAAUCAAAGAUUCCCCUCCCCUCUUCUUGCGAUGCUGCGGAUGACGUCGACGAAGUUGAUGACGGUGGCGUGGAUCUGUUCGGCCAUCGGAUUUGAUUUGACAUUUUCGAAUAAGUAUUGAAGGGUCCGAAGAAACGGGGAAUCAAAGAUUCCCCUCCCCUCUUCUUUCGAAAAUAUCAAACCGNUGGGGUCCGAAGAAAUUCUUUUUUGAUUCUAAUUUAAUUUGGAGUCCGAAGAAAUCCCCUUUUUAAUUCUAGUUUGUUUUGGGGUCCAAAGAAAUCCCCUUAUUGAUUCUAAUUUGAUUUGGGGUCCGAAGAAAUUUCCAUUUUGAUCUUGAUUUUGGGUCCGAAGAAAUCCCCUUAUUGAUUCUAAUUUGAUUUGGGUUCCGAAGAAAUUUCCGUUUUGAUCUUCAUUUGGGGUCCGAAGAAAUCCCCGUUUGAUUCAUGAUUUGGGGUCCGAAGAAAUCCCCGUUUGAUUUAUGAUUUGGCGUCCGAAGAAAUCCCCGUUUGAUUUUUGAUUUGAUUUGGAUCUAAGCUGGUCUGAAAGUUUCGUGAAUUGAUUCAAUGUUCUCGGAAAAGAUUGAAGGGUCCGAAAAAAUAGGAAAUCUUUGAUUCCCCUCCCCUCUUCUUUCGAAAACACUAAACCGGUGAUGCUGGAGAUGACGUCGGUGAAGAUGAUGACGGUGGCGCGGAUCUGUUCGGCCAUCGAAUUUGAUUUGACAUUUUCGAAAGAUGUUGAAGGGUCCGAAGAAACGGGAAUCGGAGAUUCCCCUUCCCUCUUCUUUUGAAAACACCGAACCGGCGAUGCUGGAGAUGACGUCGGUGUAGAUGAUGACAGUGGCGCGGAUCUAUUCAGCUGUCGGAUUUGGUUUGACAUUUUUGAAAGAUGCUGAAGGGUCCGAAAGAAACGGGGAAUUGAAGAUUCCCCUCCCCUCUUCUUUCGAAAAUAUCAAACCGGCGAUGCUGUAGAUGUCGUUGGGGAUGGUGGCGUGGAUCUGUUCGGUCAGCCAAUUUGAUUCAAUAUUUUCAAAAAUGUUUUGAAGGGUCCGAAGAAACGAGGAAUCAAAGAUUCCCCUCCCCUCUUCUUUUCGAAAAGAUCAAAACGGCGAUUGUAGACGUCGUCGACGGAGUUGUUAACAGUGGCAUGGAUCUGUUCGGCCAGCAAAUUUGAUUCGAUAUUUAUCGAAGAAAUGUUGAAGGGUCCGAAGAAACAGGGAAUCAAAGAUUCCCCUCCCCUCUUCUUUCGAAAGUAUCAAACCAAACAUGCUGGAGAUGGUCGCGGCAAUGUAGAUCAUCCAUUCCAUCAUCAACGACUUCGAAUGGGGUAUUGAGAGGUCCGAAGAAACGGGGAAUCAAAGAUUCCCCUCCACUCUCCCACCGAAGCCAUCUAGAUGAUAUGGAUGGCUACGAUCGUCGGACAAAAGAAAAAAAAAAAAAGAGGGGGAAGAAAAGAGAUCUUUUUUUUGUUUUAUUAUUAUUUUUACUUUCUUUCUUUUUUCUUUCUUUUUUACUACCUGCUGAUGGAUUCGAUGAAGCGGCUCAACGAUCUCUCUCUCUUUCUGCGGCUCGGCGAUUUCUCCUUCUUUCCACGGCUUGAGUGAUAUCUCCUCCUUUCCUCGGCUCGGCAAUGUAUCCUCCUUUCAGCAGCUCGGCAAUAUCUCCUCCUUUGAAUAUUUUGAACUUGGAAGUGUGUAGCAAUCUAUCUAUCGUGUCGUCUCUCUCCAAAAAAUUUCUCCCCGAAUUUGAUUUCGGUUCCCAUAUUUAUAAUGGGAAGGGAGGAGUUAGUUAAGAAUUCAAAAUUCGAAAUUCGAAUUUUGAAUUAUUUGUUGGAUGGUUGGAGGAUAUUUGGGGGGUGGUUGGGAGUUCAAAAUUCGAAUUCGAAAUCGAAUGAGUUGUUGGAUAGUUGGAAGAUAUUUUGGGAGUUGGUUAGGGAAUUCAAAAUUCGAAAUCGAAUUUUGAAUGGGUUGUUGAAUGAUAUUUUGGGAAUUUGGUUGGGAAUUCGAAAUUCGAAAUCGAAUUUCGAAUAGGUUGUUGGAUGAUGUUUUGGGAAAUGGCUGAAAAUUCGAAAUUCGAAAUCGAAUUUUGAAUGGGUUGUUGGAUGAUGUUUUGAGAAUUGGUUGAGAAUUCGAAAUUCGAAAUCGAAUUUCGAAUGGGUUGUUGGAGGAUGUUUUGGGAAUUGGUUGAGAAUUCGAAAUUCGAAUCGAAUUUCGAAUGUGUUGUUGGAUGAUAUUUUGGGAAUUUCAAAUUCGAAUUUUGAAUGGAUUAUUGGAGGAUAUUUUGGUAAUUUGUUGGGGGUUCAAAAUUCAAAAUUCGAAUUUUGAAUGGAUUAUUAGAUGGUAUUUUGGGAAUUCAAAAUUCGAAAUUCGAAUUUUGAAUGGAUUAUUAUUUGAAAUCGGAUUUCGACUAGAAACUUUAUAAGGUGUGGGUGUGGGCCGUCGUUGAUCAGACCCACCUUAAUUUAUUGGGUUCAAAUGAUAAUGAGCUGAAAUAAAGGCCCACCCUCACUUUUUUUUUUUAUUUAUUUUUUUUUUUUUAUUUAUUUGUUUGGGCUUUCGUAAUGGCUCACCCACUCACAUUUUUUUUUUAUUUGUUUGGGCUUUCGUAAAGGCCCACCUACUCACAUUUUUAAAUGGGCUUAUUGUAUAUUAUAAUUAUUGACCCGAGAAAAUUAAUGAUUAAUACGAGACCUAUUAGGAUUGUAUGAACUCGAAUCUAAUUAUUUUUUUAUUAGGAUUAGGAUUGUUUCAACCUAUAUAUAUAUAUAUAUGUAUGACAAGUAUUAUUUUACCUCAAACAGUUAUUAUAUGUGGGGUCGCUAGGUAUAUAGUGGCAGUUUAAGAGUGUCGGUAUAACCUAAAAAGAGUACUGCUAAUUUACCAACACUUAUUUAAGUAUUUAGCAACCGCCGAGCCUCUACCUCGUUGGCUGCGGUAGCGGAGGAGGAGGAGACCGAAGAGCUCUUCGUCUAGGGUUUCAGUAGAUUGAGUGAGGGGAGAAGGAGAUAUGGUGAUCAAUUUUUCCUUUUUUGUUUGUAAUCGGGCCGAAUGGGCUGGGUGAGGUGAGUUGAAUAGAGUAAGCUUUUAUUUUGGUUGGAUUGGACUUUAUAUUUAGGCCUUAGUAAAUUUUUUUUUAAAAGUUUUGUCAUAAAUGAGACAUUUACCCAAAAUUGUUUCAAACAUAUGUUCCUAUAAUUUAAUUCUAUUGUAGUGCCGUUGGAUUAAGGAAUCAAGGAUAUAUACUAAUGUGGUAAGUAGUAAUAAAAAGAAACAAAAGUCGAACCAAAUUUGCACCAUAUCUACCAUUAUUCCAUUACCUCUAAUUAGUACAUUUUUCCAAAGGAAAAAAGAAUUAAAGGCAUACUUAUUUUUGUAUUCUAAUUUUUUGUUUUGAGAAUUAAGUUUGUAUCUAUUAAUUAUGAUUUUUAAUAUGUAAGCUUACAAAUUAUCUAAUUAUGUAUUGUUCCCAACAUACCAAGAUCUGUGGAACCACCAACUGUACUUCUAGAGCAAGUGGCAAAGGACUUGAUGGUUGGUAUUUGAGAACCAAGUUCGAAUCUUAGUUGAUUCAUAUUUCUAGCUAAAUUUAUUUCUAAAUAUAACAAAUGAAACGGAUAGUGUGCUAUCUAUCUCAAAAAAAAAAAAAAAAAAAAAAAAAAUCUGUCGAACCACGGCUAUCACUGCUAUUGCUAUAGAGCGAAUCCAUUAUGAGAUACUCGAAUAGCAUUUCACCUAAAACUAAUACCGCACCAUACAGUGCGACUAAAUGGGCCACGUAUGCUCCCACUGAUCUUAAGCGCCUCAACACCUGUUUGGUAUUUUUUUUUUUCUAUUUUAAUCACACAGAAAGUGCGAAAAAGACAUGCAAUUAAUCUAUUAUUUAUUCUCAAAUAACACACCGUUACUAAGCCUUAUCUAAGUAUUACAUUAUUCUAGUGAAAUAAAAACUCAAAAAUUUAGAACAAACAAGAGUUACAAAACUGCAAUUCUUGAAACCUUAGCACUUUAUGGAAAUAAACAGUACUCCGUACCUUACAUAAACAACAUAGACAUCACAACCUUAAUUGAUUAGUACGCAGAUCCUAAUUAAUAUUUUUCCUCUCUCUUUCCAAUCUGAGUUGGUAAGCCUCCUUUCAUUUUGAGCGACAGUGAGAAUUCAUGCUCAGGAGCGCUCUUCUUUCCCACAACACUAAGCUGAAACCUUUCAAGCAAACAAGCCGCAAUGGACUUCAUCUGUAUAUAAGCCAUCUCCUUCCCCAAGCACAUUCUCGGUCCGGCAUGAAACACCGGGUAACGGAACGGGUUCUCUGGCCGGAAAACCCCAUUUUCCAACCACCUCUCCGGCUUGUACUCUUCGCAAUUCUCCCCCCAUAUUUCCUUCGAUCUUCCCAUAGCAUAAGCAUUGUAUGUUACAAACCAUCCUUUCCCCACGAACGUUCCGUCCGGCAGCGUAUCGUCCUUUUUGCAUGAUUGCCUAUCAAUAGGCACAGGAGGGUAUAAUCUCAUCGUCUCCGAUAUCGCAGCAUGCAAGUAGUGCAUCUCUCGUAGCUCGUCAAAGCUGAACAUCUCGCUCGAAUUCGAAUUCAUUUCUCGGACUGUUCUAAUCUCUUCUACAAUCUUUUUUUCAACAUCGGGUCUCGUAGAUACAAUCCAGAAGAACCAUGUCAGUGCCGACGAAGUAGUCUCGCGGCCAGCAACAAGGAAAUUUAUCACGUUAUCGCGAAGGAGCUCUUCUGAGUGGUCUUCAUACGAUGCAAAUCGGGACAGGAGAUCGCUCUUCCGAUCCAAAGGCCUCUCCUUUCGUGACCGAAUAAUGUCAAGAGCAUAGUUGUGGACGAUCGAGAUCCCUUCUUUUAUGCGCUGCUCCGAUCCGAUAUUGAGUAGCUUCUUGAUCCUCCAUGUCACAUUCAGUGCAUCCAAGAGCCGCCAUCCGAUGAGGUACUGCGUUUCUCCGAAAGCCCGCAUGAAGUCAGAGCUCGUGCCAGCAAAGCCUUCUUCAGUGAGGGAAGCGGGAUCAGCAUCGAAGGCCACCUUGCAGAUGUUAUCGAAACCAAAACGUUCGAGAACGUCCUGCAUCUCGACGAUCUCUUCUCUUUCUUCCGCUUUGUUCAACAACGGCAACAAUCUGUGCUGUAUCUCAAAUUGCACUGCAUCCACCACGAAGUUACGGAGGGAUUUCGUAUUGAAUUCGUGGCUCGCCACUUUUCUCUGCUGCUUCCAAUGCUCCCCAUCAGAGUUAAAGAUUCCACGGCCAAAAAAGUCUUCGAACAAGGCGAGCGAGCGCUCGCCCUUCGGGUAGUUUUUGAAGUUGAUUUUCAGCAUGUGCUCCACAUUUGCGGGGUUGGCGGUGAUGACGCCGCUGGCCUGCCCGAGGCUUCGGAAGACCAUCGUGCGCGUCGGGCUUGCGAGGAGGAUUUCGGUCGUCCAUUCGAGGAACCGGUGGCGGUUCUUGAUGAACUGCGGGAGGUAGCCGAGAAUUGGGUAGGGUUUUAGGCCGUAGGCGGUGGGUUUUCGUGGUUGGUCUUGACGGAAGAAGAUGUAGAGGAAGAAGGGGAGAAGGAAGAGAAGAACUAGCAGUUGGAGAGUGAAGAGCUCCAUAUCUACUAUCUCACUGCAUUCAGCUAGCGAACAAACACUUGGUAGGAAAACGAAGAAUAAUACAUGGUUUAUAUAAUGCGUUUCAUCGGCUAGCUUUUUUAUUUUAUUUUUUAUUUAGGACCCCAACAACAGGCAAUUUUGAAUUGGUCCCCUUAUGGUUGAGCCCUUGUCUUGUCUUUCUCUUUCUUUUUCUUUGUUUUCGUUUCCUUCUCAAGUGUAUGUUGUGGAAUUUACAGCCCACCUAUAGUUUGGUUUAGAUAGCUGUGUAAUUAGAUAUAUUUUAUAUUUUAGAUUAGGUUGAUUUAAUUGACCAUUAAUCCUUUAGAUUAGAUAGCGGUUGGGUGGGAAAGGAGUUUACGGUAUGUUUUUUUUUUAUUAUUCUAUUAUGGUUUGGUUCGAAAAUAAGUUAUUCUUAUUUAUUUCAACAUGAAUUGUGUUGUUCAAAAUUAAAAUUUUUUAUUAAUUAAUUUAUAAAUAAUAAUAAUAAUAAUGAAAUAUUGCUAAUUAAUAACUAGGAGCGUAUUUAAUCUAGAUGGAGGUUGAUUUUCGUGGAUAUCAGCUAUCAAGCUCUUUACCCCUUACACUAAAGACGGACGGUAGGUAAUUCAAUCAGGAUUUAUUAAUCAUAGAAAAAGAAGGCUAAGAAAACUUGUGUAGGCCUCCGCUACAACUUAAAAAAAUUAAUUUGUAACCACCUUGGGCAGCAAGGAAAAUCCUUGGGCACCAAGGAAAAUGCUUACUUGGGCACCAAGUACAUGUGUCCAACUCGUGGCCCCAUCUCCGAUUCUCCGCAGCCAUCACCCUUCAACAUUGAACAUUAAUUGCACUACAAAAAAUAGCAAAGUAGGAACAGAAAUCAGAAGCUGAAAAAAUAAAUAAAAAGAAAUGGUUAAAUAAUGAAUGAAGACCCCUUCGCCUAUUGUCCACCGUGAAAUUAGUCCCUCAACAUAAUAUUUUGUUUUUUUUUUUUUCUAUUUUGAAUUUUUUUAAUUGAAUUUUUUUUAUCAAAUAACUUUAAUAUGAUAUAUUUAGCUAUGAAUCCAUCAAAUUUAAUAGUUUUAGCUACUUUCUAGAACAUAAUUCUAUUUUUUUUUAUUUUCGAUUUUUGAAUGUUAAAUAUUUGAAUUUCUUCUAAAUUGUCACGCCCCAAGUCCCGUCAAUUUAGACCACUAGGAAUAUAUAUGCAACAGACCCGCUGGACAGGUAAAUUUUUUUUCUACCUGCACAAAGCGAAAACAUAAGCCAAUCUGUAUAACACACAUGAUAUAGAUAUAUAAACUAUCAGAGUAUGAAGCUACUAAACUGAACUAAAAGUUUACAAUGCUUGACUUCCCGAAAUAUUAUAUUAUUUUGUUUAUACAAAAAGGGCACUUUUUUCUAGACCAGCUAACCAUGAUCUAUUUAGCUCACGAUGGUCUUUGCCGUCAUCCCAUGCUGCGCCGGCAAAAGAAAGCUAUGAAAAGGUGUAAAUAACAACGCGAUGAAAACUUUAAAUAAAUUUUUAUUGGGUGCAACUGCCAAAAGUAAUACUCUACACUCACUUGGUUCAAAAGAGGCAUUAGUAGAUAAUAACGAUAACUGGAAUAACUAUGCAAGAGAAAGUGUUAUAACUACUAUGCCUCAAAUACAUAUACAAUUAAUAUGUGAUAAUGACCAUAAAGUUUUCAAUAAUACACAAUAAAGUUUGGAAUAUAAAAAAUCCGUUCAUGAAAUAUGAUUAAUAUAAGUGAAGUGAGAGAUCGUUAGGAUUUCUAUAAAUAUGGCCCAAUUAAUCAUGUUCAAAUAUGGAUUUACAAUAAAUAAAGGUCAUUCUUAGUAAAUAUAGAACUACUUGAUAUAGUAUAUUUAAUCUCUUUCCCAUCUAUUUAAGUUAAGUAGAAUCCUAAUAAGACUUUGAUGAAAAGUCAAUCUGAACUCUAUAUAAAGAGGGUACUGGUCCUGCCAUCUUUUCAUAUGCAUUCUGAUGAAUAAUUACCAUCUAUUUCACACCAAACGGAAGAGUGCCUGAAAAAGAAGGGGAAACCAAAUUACUCAAGUUCAAUUGGUAACGUUUAGAUUACAGCUAAAUUUUUCACUUUCGCAGAUUGAUUAAGAAUUUCUUCUCUAUGGUGCUCUGUGAGUUAUAUUUUAUUCUGUUUAGGAUCUUGGGUAUGGGUAUGUAUUUAGUUUUCUUGCUUUUACAUACCAAUAUACAUCUAUCUUCCUCCAAACUCUUUAUCUUGUACUGAGUCGUAGAACGAAUAGGUCCGGAAUAGCAACUAGAGAGGCGAAGGAAGGUGAGCACCGUACAAACUUGAUAAGCAAUUUUGCCUAAGUCCAUAAUAAUUGGUAUCAGGGUGGGUUCGAGAAAUAGGAACCAUGUCGUCAUCAAAUGCUGCCAUCGUUGACAUCGUCCCUUAGCCCAAGCGGCCCAAGCGAGGCAAGAGGAAAAAAGCCAUAGACCCAUGCGAGGGAGUUCGUUUCACUCAAGGACCACAUAGGCUUGAUGAAGGAUAUUGUUGCGAGAGUGGAAAAGCGAUAUUCUAUUCUAUCCCAACACUUAGGCCCUGUUUGGAUGCAUAGUUAAAAAACUCCAUGGAAUUUUUAUUCUAUGGUUUUGGUCUAAACGAAAUACGGAAUCCUGUAACUACAAAAAAUUUCCACAGCUUCAUUUUUAAGCUGUUUGGAUAUAUAUCAUACAAUUCCACAGUAUUUAUAAUAACUAAAUUUCUAAAAUUUUAAAAUUCAAAAUUCAAAAUUCAAAAUUUAAAAAUAAAAUUGUAAAAAUUAAAAUUCAAAAUUCAAAAUAUAAAAUUAAAAUUUAAAAUUUAAAAUUAAAAAAGUAAAUUAGAUUUUAUGUUUUAAAUUUGAAAUUUGAAAUUUGGAAUUUGAAAUUUCAAUUUUGAAAUUUGAAACUUUAAAAUUAAAAACUUAAAGUAUACCAUUUAAACUUUAAAUUUUGAAAUUUAAAAAAUCUAUAAUUAAAAUUUUAAAUUUCAAAUUUAAUAAUUUAUAAAUUUACAUAUUUAUAAAUUUAAAAUUUUAAAGUUAAGUUUAAAUUUAAAUUUUGAAGAUUGAAAAUUAAAAAUUAAUUUGAAAUUUGAAAUUUGAACUUUUUGAAAUUUGAAAUUUGAAAUUUGAAAUUUGAAAGUUGAAAGUUGAAAGUUGAAAGUUGAAAUUUGAAAUUUGAAAAUUGAAAAUUGAAAAUUGAAAUUUUAACUUUUUGAAAUUUGAAAAUUGAAAAUUGAAAAUUGAAAAUUGAAAUUUGAAAUUUGAAACUUGAAAUUUGAAGUUUUUGAAAUUUGAAAUUUGAAAUUUAAAAUUUGAAGUUUUUGAAUUUUGAAAUUUGAAAUUUAAAAUUUAAAAUUUAAAAUCAAAAUUAAAUUUGAAUUUUAAAAUUUUAAAAUUUGAAAUCUAAAAUUUUAUGUUGAAAUUUAAAAUUUAAAAAUUGAUACAUCUUUGGGAGCCCAAAAUAGUGGAAUUUUUUUUCCUUUGGUUAAAGUGGAUUGUAAGUUUACUCCAUUUUUUGGAGUAUAGUAUAACUAUGCUCCAAAAAUUACGUCAUUUUUUUUUUCUUCCAAACGCUUCAUAGGAUUAUUUUCCUACCGGCGUAGCAUAGUUUAACUAUGCUACGUUUUUAGAGGUAUCCAAACGGGGCCUUAGAGAUGAUGGAAGUAUGGGCUUCAUACCACGAAGGACCUCGCUACAGCUACCAUGAUGACCUUUCGCUGAUCACUCGAGCAGUUUCAGGAUGACCUCACUCACCACCAGAAUAAGCGAAAGGUGCUGGUGGACGACCUUGUCGCUAGGGUCGAUGCAGCCGAGGGCCUCAAGAUAUGGAUGACAAGCCUCAAAAAGGAUGUGGCUCGCGGUGUUGAGGCAUAGAAGGGGUACAUACCAAAGGUCCAUAUCCCUAAACUCUGGUGUUUCAAGGGCACGCAAGAUGAGAAGAAAUUGAUAACUUCUUAUAGCACAUAGAGCACUACCUCAAGGCAUUAUGAUUAGAGAACAAGGAAGGGAAAGUCUAAACCGCUUCCAUGUACCUCACCAACAGUGAAUAAUUCUAUGGUGGCGUCGGCAGGCGACAGAGGCUGAAAAGGGCCAAUGCGAGCUAAGGAGGACUUUUUGCACGAGCUCAAGGCACAGUUUUAACUAGAUCUUGUGAAGAGGCAACUUCGAUAGCACAAGCAUAUUAGGACACUCAACAAGUAUGUCAAGGAGUACUCUAAAUUGAUGCUAGCUACCACCAAUAUGGCCGAAGAGGAUCAACUAUUCUUCUUUUUUGAUGGGUUCCAACCAUAAGCGAACAAGGAGCUCGUAGGACAUGAUGUUAACGAUGUGAGCUUCACUAUUGCCUUAGCGGAGAAGCUACUUGAGUAUGGGAAGGAAGAUCAUACUCAUGGAAAACCACCUAAGAUGGGCAAGGCCAAAGGUGGGGGAGAUUGUUGUGAACAAAAUGACAACUAGGCAACUUCCUAGCUUUGCCGAAGGCAAUGCCGAUGCCAUACCUUGGAGUUAAGCAUCAUGGAGGAGACAGCCCCUUGCAUGGUUCCGGCUAGCCGCAUCGAUGUCACGCCCCGGGACCCAGCGGAAGCCCACCCGGCGCGUGCCCAGACCCACCAUACGUCUAAAACAUAUAAGACGUCUAAAAACAACAAUAAUAAAAGCAAUAAUAAAAGACAUCUAGGAGUAUCAGAGCAUAAUAAAUGUCUAAAUGCUACAACAAGGGAUAAGGAUAAAGCUAUAAAUCCACUACAUAAAACAUAAAGUGUUAUAAGGAAAUCUCAGAUACAAGUGCUAUAGGUAGAUACAUAGGUGGUCUCUAUACAUGGAUACAAAACCUCUCACACUCUCAACUACAAAAAGAAGGAGUAAACCACCUAGGCAAAGAACCGCUCCUCGCUAGCUAGCUAAGCAAUCCCCUUACCGCGAUCCCGUGCCUCCGCCGGUGCCGAAGGCUCUGAAAAGGAAACCAUAAAACAGGGGAGUGAGAACUAUUAAAAAUAGUUCCCAGUAGGCAAUUACUGACUUCAGUGAAUGCACUACAAGGCCCAAAGCUACAAAAGAUGUCAGUGAGAGUAACAAUAGAAAAGCGAAAGGUAAGUAAAAAUAAUGUAACCUACUACCACAUGAUAUCUCUACUUAGCGUAAUUAGCAUAAGUAUGAAGCAAUUAUGCAUGAAGUAAAAGUCUCCAACUAUCAUAAUGUUCACAAUGCGAAAUAGUAAAGUUCCGUUGUUUACUAUUCUAGUCAAUGUCCAAGUAGUACACUAAGUCAUCAUCUGUCCACAUGUCAUAGUGAAUACUCAAAGUCAAAUCUGAAGAGACCCACCCGAAGGCUGUCUAUGGCCCUGAGACCCACCCGUUGGCUGUCUGGCCGGUGCCGAGCCUAAUGGCCCCGUGGUAGUCAUCAUCCCCACCCUAGGAAUGAGCCUGUCCCACGGCAAUCCACUUCGGCGCCCAAUCCCGCACGGCGAAUAUGAAUCGCGAUGGCUAUCUCCGGACUGCCGGCUUGUAGGGAGCGACCCUCACAAGCAUGUGCGAAUGAGCACAAUGGCAAGUAGUCAAACGAUCUGUCGCAAGUACCAAGUCCUCAUGUCUAGUAACAUGGAAUGUGUCAAGUACCCCAAUGGCCUAUCCCUAUGUCAUCAUGUCUCUAACAUGGAAUGUGGCGGAUAAGUAGUGGCCUAUCAAUAUGUCUCUAUGUUGCAGUUUCAUAGUUUACUAGUUUCAAGUGCCCCUUUAUGACACUCUUGUUCUCUAUGUCAGAGCAUGGCAACUAUGUUCCAAAGUACAUAUUCCAACUCAUAAUCCUCAUAAGUGAUGUAUUUUUCACUUGCAAAUAAACACUUUUCCCAUAUGCAUGCAUUCUACUCAUAUAGCCCUACUAUAUAGUGAAAUUUUCAUAAUACACAAGACAUGCAUUUUAAGUGCUCUAAAAUUCAUAUAAAUUUCAUUUAGCAUAGAAAUGAAUUUAAAAAAUAUUUUACAACAAGUAGAAAGAGCAUAGGGGCCAUUUCGCCACAUUUUCACGAAGCCAAACCCACCAAAAUCGACUUCUUCGUUUCGCCGAACGAAGGUAUCCACAAGCUUCCUAGUACCCUAGAAACAUCAAAAAUAGGCUCACCCAAACGAAACGAAGAGCAAAUAGCUCAAUCAUUAAGCUUCUCAAGCUAGGGUUGGGAAAAACUCACCUCAAGUGAAAAACCCUCUCUUAAUCUUCAAAUGGAAGGUAGGGGUCUUCCAAUCUAACUCAUAUAAAGGUUCCAAACCAUUCAAAUGAGAUCAAGAAGCCUCAAAUCCAAAAACCCCAAAAAUAAACCCUAAAUCCCAAAAUCUAGGGUUUCAUCUAGUAAAACCUAGGAAAACAUGUAUCAAAUGGGGAUUACAAGCUACCAACCACAAGAGAAGCUCCAAUCCAAGCUCAAAACCAAGUAGGGUUGAAGUUUGAUCUACCACAAAGCUCCAAAAGUAAGCUCCAAGCCUCCAAAGGUGAGAAAUGAGGAAGAAAAUGGUGCUCCAAGGCCUCCAAGCAAGCUCCUCUCCUCUCCUUCUCCUUCUUCUCCUUUCCUUUCUCUCUCUAGAAGUGUAGGAAGAGUGUGAGGGAGAGAAAAUAAGAGUGAGAGGGGAGGAGAGGCUGCCUAUAUCCUCUAAGGUAACAAAAUCCAGCAAGGCCCCUCAAAAACUCAAAUUUACAUCAGCCCGGUCUGGGCAGUUUUCGCCUAGAGGGACCGGUCUCCCCGACGUGGGACCGGUCUCUCAGCCUGCCCCCGAAAAUCCAACGUUCGGGAACCAGUCUCUCCAUGUGCGGGACCGGUCUCUCCCCGCGCAGACGCGCUCGGGGACGGGUCUCGACUGCCAGCGACCUGUUGCCUCGCCGGCUACGCAGCACUGUUCACUGGGGGACCGGUCUCUCCUAUCAGGGACCGGUCCCCAAGAGUAAAAACUCUCAGGACUCUGCCAAAACUCUCGAGAUCGAACUUUUAGGCCGGGAUACCAUCGACGGCCCUCCACCAAGUGUGGAAAAGUUCGGAAUAUAAAUCGAACACUCAAACCUCGCAAUUUGCAAUGGUCCAGUGCGCUACAUUCACCCCUCCUAAAAAGGAUUUUCGUCCGCGAAACUCGAAAGCAAAAGCAUACCUCAAGACUCCAUCUGAAAAAGAUGGGGAUAGCGCUCCUGCAGCGCAAUCUCUAGCUCCCACGUGGCCUCCCGCUCCGCGUGGUUGCUCCAAAGAACCUUUACAUACGGAAUAUCCCGAUUCCGCAGCUUCUUCACCUCGCGAGCCAAAAUCUUCACGGGUUGCUCCUCGAAGCUCAGAUCCUCGCGCAGCUCCACUGGUAUAGUUCCCAAAACAUGAGCUGGAUCACGAAUNGGCAGUUUUCGCCCAGAGGGACCGGUCUCCCCGACCUGGGACCGGUCUCUCAGCCUGCCCCCGAAAAUCCAACGUUCGGGAACCGGUCUCUCCCUGCGCGAGACCGGUCUCUCCCCGCGCAGACGCGCUCGGGGACCGGUCUCAACUGCCAGGGACCGGUUGCCUCGCCGGCUACGCAGCACUGUUCACUGGGGGACCGGUCUCUCUUAUCAGGGACCGGUCCCCGAGAGUAAAAACUCUUAGGACUCUGCCAAAACUCUCGAGAUCGAACUUUUAGGCCGGUAUACCCUCGACGGCCCUCCACCAAGUGUGGAAAAGUUCGGAAUACACAUCGAACACUCGAAUCUCGCAAUUUGCAAAGGUCCAGUGUGCUACAAUCGAGCUAGCGGCAACCUAGACCCUCUUCAUUUUAUAAUUGCGAAAAGGGAUGGGGCAUAGCGAGAUGACUUACCUUGCGGCUAUUUGCGAGGUAAUGAUGAGGGCCUUGAGAAGGUCUUUUCGAUUGAAAUUGAUGCAGUCUUGAGGGAAUUCUAAAAUGUUAUGCCUUAGGAACUACCCAAGUGACUCCUACCUAAGUGGGAAGUGGACUAUGCGAUUGACCUCGAGUUAGAAGCCAAGCCACCAAUGACAACACCAUAUAGAAUAGUCCAGCUGAAGCUCGAGGAGUUGCAAACCAAUUGCAAGAGCUCCUCAAUUGAGCUAUAUAAGACUGCCAAAGGCACCCUAUGGAGCACCAAUACUAUUCUAACAGAAGAGCGACGAAAGACUAUGACUCUGUUUUGAUUAGAGGCCACUCAAUAAGGUAAUAGUAAAAAAUAAGUACCCUACCACUUUGGUUGCAGACUUUGACCAGCUAGGUGGGGUGAAGUAUUUCACCAAGCUCGAUCUCCACUCAGGGUAUAUCAAGUCCGAAUUGUGGAAGUAGAUGAAGAGAAGACCACAUGUGUGAUGAGGUACAUGGCCUAAGAGUUCCAUGUCAUGCCAUUCAUCCUGACAAAUGCACCGACGACCUUCUGCACUCUUAUGAACAAGCUAUUCCACCCUUAUCUCGGUCACUUCAUGGUAGUGUGCACCUCAACGUCAUCGUUGUGUAUAGCAACACAUUGAAGGAGCAUGUCGAGCAUCUAUGGACCAUCUUUCAUGUAUUGCGAGAGAACCAGCUUUUUAUUAAGAAAAAGAAGUGCUCCAUCAUGAAGAAUUAGGUACACUUCCUUGGCCAAUAGAUGGGCCAGGGGCAACUCCACAUGGACCACCGGAAGGUGUGGGCAAUCUACGAGUGGGGGACACUCAUGAUAGUGUAUGAACUGUAAUCCUUUCUCAAACUCAUCAACUACUAUCGCCGCUUCAUCGUGUGCUACUCUACACAAGUGGCUCCGUUGGCGGACCUACUAAAGAAGAACUAGGCAUGGGAUUGGACUGCUUAGUGCGCGGAGGCAUUCGAGGACCUUUAGUGGGCAAUGACGGAGGAUCCAGUACAACGACUUCUUGAUUGCAAUAGUCCAUUCAAAGUGCAUAUAGAUAUUUCGGACUUUGCCAUUGGCGAUAUUCUCAUGUAGGAUGGGCAACCCAUCACCUACAAGAGCCGUAAGCUGAAUGACAUUGAGCGGCGAUGCAUUGUUUAGGAGAAGGAAAUGAUCGUCGUGGUGCAUUCUUGAGGACUUGGCAUUACUACCUUCUCAGGAUCAAGUUCGUGGUGCAGACGAACAUUAGCACCACGAGCUACUUCCAAACCCAAAAGAAGGUAUCACCAAAGCAGGCGAGAUGACAAGACUUCUUGGCGGAGUUCGUGAAUCCCGAAGAGCAAUCCCGAAGAGCGAUCGUGAAUCCAGGUUUAUGGGCAAGUUUUGGACAAAGAUAUUUUAGAUCUUAGGGUCGGAGUCGCUCUUCUCCACCAGUGUCCACCCACAGAUGGAUGGGCAAAUAGAGCGGGUGAACACCCUAUUGAAGGAAUACCUAUGACACUUUGCGGGUUCCUACUAGAAGAACUUGGUGCACCAUAGUAAUGUGGCUCAAUUCUCUUACAAUUUGCAGCUGAGUGAGUUCACAAAUCUAAGCCCAUUCGAGCUGGCGAUAAGGAGAUAACUGACGGCCCGACACACAGUCAGCGAGUGAGGCCACAGCCCAUGGCCCUCCAAUUCACUUCAAAACUACAGAAAAGGGCGAGAUCGCCAGGGCCUAUCCAAAGAAGAAGGCCUGCCGAAUGACCAAAUGGGUUGAUGCAACGCGGCGGCCAUUGGAGUUUGCUGAAGGUUAUUGAAUCUUGGUUAAGUUCUGCAACCCCAAUAAUUCAAGGCCUUUCGCAAGAUAUACUGUGGGCUACUACAGAAGCUUACAUGUUUAGUAUGCGAUGAAAAUUGAUUAAUUAAGUUUUGUAUCUCUUUCAUUUAGUUUGCAUAUUUAAAAUAUAAAAAAAAAUUGAUUUCUUGAGUAUUAAUAUUUUUCUUACUCUAUGAUUUUAUUGUUGUAUUAUUAUAAUUUACGUAUAAAAAAUUUAGUUAAGUUGUUUCAAAUUCCUUUUAUUAAUUAUAUAGGAAUAUUAUUUAUUAUUAUAUUAUAAUUUAUUAUUUAUCUAGUUAUUUGUUAUUUAUGUAUAUAAUUAUAUUUUUAACGUCAUUCACUUCUGCCAAGAUAAUAAUAGAACUGAAGAAACUUUACUUUCAUAGCUGUAAAACCAAACAGCUUUGGAAAGAAGUAAUUUUUAUCUAAACUCUACUUUUACCACAGUUCACUUAGGCCCACCCAGGCCUAAAGUCCACUUUCGGUAAAACCAAACAGGCCUAAAACAAAGGGAAACUCAAUUUGAAGGGCGAUGGAUUCCCUCAGGGCCAUUUUGGGAAUAAAAAUGAAAGAUUUUAUAGAUUUCUUUUUCUAAAAAUGUAUGGAUAGUCCCUGCAACGCUCCAAUGUUGAAACUUACUGUCACGCCCCGGAUUCCUCGUUUCCCCGGGUACGCUAACAGACCCACCGUAUACAUAGAAAUUUUUUCUGUAUACGAAGCGAAGCUGUACAAGAACCAGAAAUCAAACACACUACAACCAGUAGUAUAGAGCUGCUAGAAAGGAAUAAAACAUAUAUAAUCACAGUGGUUCAAUACAUACAUAGUAUCCGGGUACAAAAAUACUCGCUCCAGCGAGAUACAACAUCCGUAUGUAAAGAACCAAAAACUACAACUACUUGUAGUUGGUGCUCCUCUAGCUCUGCGACUCGGCUGGAAAGGCUCUAACUCGCAACGCUUUUGCCACGAUCAGUCUCAGUAGUAGCAGCAGCCGGAACAGAAGGCUCUACAAAAGAAGGAUAACAAAUGGGCGUGAGAACUACUGCAAAAACAAGUAGUCCUAAGUGGGUACCGCCCUCAACUCAUCGGUUCACCCACCAAGUCUACAGAUGUAUGCUCAAAAGAUAGUAAGGGAACCGGAAACAAUCUACAGCUACAUGCCACUAUACUAUCAUGAUCCGACACUACUAUCUGUAGAAUAAGACAAGCUCUCACCCAAUCUCACUAGGGACUGUAAACAUACCGUCCCAGGAACUGUGAAUACACCCGUCCCGCCUGUCGAAGCUAUACAGCUACCUCCGCACUAAGCAGUCCAUGGAGAGCAAGUCCAAACAGGACACAACGACACCAACACAAACGCACAAAGUCCGACUCCGGAGUGGCACUCGUGGGCGCUACCCAACCAAGUAUGCAAGCGUAUCUCUGUCGAGCUCAAUCAGGCUCUCACAAGCUAAGAUCCAAGUAAAUAGGGUCCAACUGGUCUAACAACCAACUCACGUGCCCUCGGCAUAAUCUGAUGCAACAACAGCAAUCUAGGUCCACCGUCAACCUCAACGGCACCCGACAGUCCGGAACAGUCUAAACACUGCUGUAAAAAUAAGCUCGGCAUCUCAGCCCGAGCGUAAAUACAUUCUACACUAUUCUGAAUAUCCACCACCCCCAAACUGCGGUGAUACAAACAAACUACGGCUUCUAGAGCUAAAUCUGGUAGUUUUAACAUAUGACAGUGUAGAAACGCUAGUUUUCUCCUAAGUCAAUUCCAAGUCCAAUAUGUAUAAUUUAUCUAACUUACUACAGUAUGCUCCAAAUUUAAAUUUUAUUUAACAUACUAAUCAAUGAAUUCGAGCUAAAAAUAUGAUAUACAAUUGCUGAAAAUAUACAUGUUGACUAUGCGUACACUUAGGAGGAGAAUCCAAUGAUUAACCCACCUUAAGCGCUAAAUCCACGGCAGCGAGGAGUCGCCGGAAUUCCUGUCAGUCUCUGCCACAACCAGCAACCAAACAAAUCCAAGGUCUACACAAAAUCCACCAAAAAUCUAUCAAUACUCUAAAAAUUCAGCACUUAAGCUAAUAUCAUCCAAUUCCAAUGUCAACUUUACCUUCCAAAGCUCAAAUCAGAUGAAGGAAGGUCCCAAAACCAGUGGGCUGUGCUGGAGUAUCAAGCUUUGGUUCACAACCCAGCUCCUUCAAAGAAUUGCUCCAAGAAAAUCACAACAAACUCAUUUUCAGCUCAAACCUCCAGCAGCAGAGAAGAAUGCGAAAAUAACUGAGCUAACCUUAACCAAAUUCUGUUAAUUUAGGCUCCAUGAAUUUUUCUUAAAGUCUAGAAUCCAACAAACCAAGUUUCGUGGUAAAUGGAGCUUCCUACAUCGUACACGAGUCGAAACACCGAAGGUCGCCGCUAGAAAACUGCUAGAACUGCAGCCCUCUAGUUGAAAGUGCACAAAUUGGAGGAAUUGAAGCAAUUUGAGGUGUUAGUAGGGGUGGAACUGGGCCGGGCUUGGAUCGGGUAAUACUAUGCCCAAGCCCGGCCCAAAAAAAAAUGUUGGGCUUCGGGUCGGGCUUUUACCCAAUUUUGUAUAAGGCCUGGCCCAAGCCCAAGCCCAAUGCCCAAUACCCAUCGGGCUUUGUGAAGGCCCAUUUUAUACAUUUAUCAUAUAAUACAUAAAUACUUUUAUUUGUAUAAUAAUAUGUACCAUAUAUUUACUCAUAGAUAUGUAUAAUUAAUUAAUUAUAUAGAAUAAUACUAUUUAUUAUAUCCUAAUAUGAAACUAAAUAUUUUGUUAAUAUAUAAUAUAUCCUCAUAUAUAUAUAUAAGUAUAUACCAUUAAUAACACUAUAUACUAUAUAUGAUAUAAUAUAUAAUUUAUUCUUUUUAUAAAAAAAUAUUAUAUAUAUAUAUAUAUAUAAUUAAAUAUUUUAUUUUAAUAAUUAAUAUAUCGGGCUUUUGGGUCAGGCUCGGGCCGGGCUUGGACAUGCCCAAAUAGGCCCAAAAUUUUUUCGGGCCUAAAUUUUGAAGCCCGGCCCGAACCCAAAGUUAAAUUUUUAAUACCCAAAGCCCGGCCCAAAUAUGGCCCAUCAGGCCGGGCCUUGUUUAGGCCCGGGCCCAGUUCCACCCCUAGGUGUUAGAUACAAUUCUAAACUUCACUGUGAAGAAAGGAUGAAAAGGGUUCACUGGAGGUGUACAUAGCCUAUUUAUAGGGAGGUGAAAAGACAAGAUAAGCCCUAAGAACUCCAAACACAAAACUGCUGCCCCUGCAGAAAUCCCCACUUUCGGGCGCCCAAAACAUACAUCUGUGCGUCCAGAAAUCUCCAGGCUAUACAAAAGCUUCCCAUUGGUUCCUCCGCCGUGGUGUGCUGCGCCCAUAACCGGCUCCGGUGGACCUCACCUACCACCAGCCACGUGUCAGCGCAAACGAUACUCCCGAAGUGAAUUUUCGGACCCACUUCUGGACGCCCGAAACUAGGAUCCGAAUUGGCUUUCAGUUCUGCUCAGUUCUGCACUCAAGUUCUGGGCGAUCGAAACCUUGUUCUGGACGCCCGAAUCUGGCAAAACUCCAGUUUUGCUUAUUUGAGUGCGCCGAGUCCAUUUCUACAUCCAUUUCGUGCAGAAUUAACUCCAACUCAGUCCGACACUCUCCAGAUGUGUCGACCAGUCACUAAUACUGUAGCUAAUUCUAUUCAAACUUCUGGAACACUACACUUACAUAAAAACUAACUCUUGACGUUAACACUUCUGUUCUCAAACAUUUGAAAAUUAUAAUUGUAAUAUUUCUUCUCUAAUUUCCUUUUUUUUUUUGGUAAAUUUAUUAUUUUAUAAGCGUAUAAAAUUACCUUUUGUAUUCUAGACUCGGGUUUUCUUGAAAAUUCAACAAGAAGUAAACAAGAAAAACAAAUUCUGAGAACAAAGGCGUAAUAUCCAUAAUAAUAUCAGACGUCAAGUCUACCUCGCGUGAGUUAAACAUGACAUUUCAAUUGGGCUGAUGCAAAAAAAACCCAAUAGGCAUAAUAGGCCCAGUAGACCAAGUCGUCAGUACUUGGGUUAAAGAGUAUAUCUUUAUAGUGAUUCCAAGGGUAUGUUUGGUUGGCCAAAAGUGAAGCACCGAAAAUAAUAUUUUAAAAAGUGAUCUCAUAUCGAUUGUUUGCGUUGCGAAAAUAAAUAUAAAAGUCACUUUACAAAAGUGGACUAAUUAAGUGAAUUAUAAUUAAAUCUUAUAUUUUUUACUUCGGCUCAAAAAAUGUAAAGUGGACUGAUUAAAUGAAUUAUAAUUAAAUCUUAUAUUUUUUACUUCGGCUCAAAAAAUGUAAAGUGGACUGAUUAAAUGAAUUAUAAUUAAAUCUUAUAUUUUUUACUUCGGCUCAAAAAAUUCGAAAGUCACCAAAAUUACAAAGCUUAACUAAAAUGAUAUAUUUGGUCUUAAAUUUUAAAUUAUGAAUUAAAAUUUGAAGAAAUGUUUUUAAAUUUUAAUUAUAAAUUCAACUCGAUUUAAGUUUAAAUUUAAAUUUUAAGAAUAAAAUUUUAAAUUCCAAAUUUAAAUUUUUAAUUUAAAUUAUGAGUAUAAGUCGUUUGUUUAUAUUUUCACUUUUUUUACUAUAAUUAAAGAAUCAAAAUUAUAAAAUUAUAGUUUUCAUGUUUCACUCUAUAGCUAUCUAAAUAAUCGAAUUGAAAAGAAAAAAAAAAUGAGUUUUUUCAAUUCAGCCACUUUUGGAUAACUAAACGUCGCUCUAAUAACAAUCAAAACAGUAACCUCAGCAGCACCAAAAAGAAAUAUUCCUUACCACUCACAAACGACUGUAAAAACACACCUAUAAAGUUGCACUCAUGGCGCCCCGCAUGCAUUUUCUUUGGACUCGAAAGAGUUGAUUUAGGGGAGAAAAAAAAAAAGAUGGAAGAAACUACCAAAUGCCUUAGAACGGAUUCAUUAUUUACGCGGCCACAGAGGGAUCGAGCACGUGGCCCAUGAAUAACACCGCUUCGGUUGUGUCCUCCCUGAUCAAGAAAAAGAACGGGUGAUCAGCAACGAAGUCCGGAGGAGGACGAGGCGCCCUGCAACAACCCUCAAGCAUCAUGAAAGAAGCGGCGGCUGCUUCGGUUCCUUCCUCAUUAACUUCGAUGAAAGAUUUGUGCAAAAUCAAUGUUCGGGCGAUGGGUGAAUCGGCUAUUUCAGUCAGGCCCCCGUCCCCACAGAAGAGCAAAUGUACUCCCAUCUCUUUUAGAACUCGAGGUGCAUCCAACCCGCAAGAUAUUUUGAAUUUGGGGAUCUUCAACUCUCCCAAUUUGACCUCCCGCUUCGGGAGAUGGCGGUUUAGGAACUCGGGAUCGGAACUCAACUUAUCAAUUAAACUCCAUAGCCCAUCUCGAUCGUCGGGCAAGAAAAUAUACAUGGAAAAUUGUCUCCUAUCAUUCCCUUUUCUAUAUGGAAGCCUUUGUCUCCUAUCAUUCCGUUUUCUAUACGGAAGCCUGAGCACUUUGAAGUCAUCGAAUGAAGACAUGAACUGCAUUUCCGGAUUCGUCAUGAAGGGCACUAGCACAGAAUUUCCGUUGAGCAAGUGGAACUCACCGUCUUCCGUUCCUGAUGCGUCGAAUCUAUCAGCCCAAGCCCCUUUAAAGUAAAUAGCAUUACCGAGCACCACCCUAGUGAAUUGGUUGAUAGCUCUACCGGAAAUCAUACUCUUUGUAAGACCAUUUGUUGCCGAACUAAUCCAUGAGUUAAUUUGAUCAGUAAUUUCAUCAGCCUAAAUUAAUAGGAAAGAAAAAAAAUAUUAAUAAACAAAUACAGCAGCGUUCAGAUUGGCUUAGAAAAAAGGGGGGAAAAACCGAAUCUGCAACACUGGUUUACCUGCCAACAAUUUUACUGAUAAGUAAAAUUAGCAGCAGAAGAAAUAUUUUUGUCUUUUAAAAAAUUAAAUAAGUAUUAUUUAUUGAAGUUGAUUUGCAAAACCGAGACUAACAAAAAAAUCAAUAUAAUUCCAGCUUAAUCAAUACCCAGAAUCCUUAAUUCCUUAUCAUUCCAAAUUCAGGAUAGAUAACUAGAGGGGUGGCAAAAGGAUAAAAAUAAAAAAAAAAAAAAGAAAGAAAGAAAGAAAAAGUUCAGUUACAGAAAGAUUAGUAUGCAUGGACUGAAGUGAGAAUUUAUGGCAAGAUAUAUAACAAAACUGGAAGAGAAACAUAUUCACCACUGUUCAGCUGCCUCAAAUUCAAGAAUACUAAAAACAAAAACUUAGAAUCUUCUUCACAAUAUCAGAGGGGUUUGUUCACUGCGAACUUAAGCUGUUGGAUUGGUCUCUGCGAUUGCGAUUGCGAUUUGAUAUAGCAUCAGAACCAUUUCCAUUUCUAAUCUAGUUUCUUCUGCUUCAAUUUCAACCUAGAUUCAGUUAGAUUCAAUUCGACCUUGUUAGCGGGGGCAUGUUAAAAUAGACACCAUAUAUGGUUCUCACCAUUCCUCUACCUGCCAGACUAAUAAUCUUUUAUGUUGAUCCGAUCCCCCUAAGACAUGCAUAUUCAAGCUAAAACCCCACAGAAACCCUAAUAACUCGAGAAACGAACAACAAAAAGAAAAAGAAAAAGGAAAAGGAAAAAGAAAAAAGGAACAAAAAUCAUAGAGCAUGGAUUCGAACCUUGGUUUGGAAAUCGACGGAUUGGAUCUCCGCCUUGUAAGCGGAGGCGGCGAUCUCCGCGAACGCGGCCUGGAGGGAGAGGGAGGCGUCGACCCACACCCCGUUCGCGAAGGAGACGCGGGGCCCACCGCCGGCGGAGGCGUCGGCUAGGACGCGGCCGACGACGCGGGCGGCGAGGGUGGCGACGUCGUCAGCGGUGGCGCCGGGGCAGAGCACGGCGAGGAGCUCGUCGAGGGCGGGGCCUCGCGUCCCCGCCGCGGCGAGGCUGAGGAGCGCGUGCAGGGAGAGCGGCGAGAACGCGAAGUUGGCGCCCUUCUUCGACUCGGCGGCGGCCACGCGCUGCGCGAGGCGCAGGGCGAACGCGGUUUGGUGGGCGACGAACUCGCUCAGGCUCAUCGCGCGAAUCGCCUUCUUCGGGGCGAAGCGCGUUUCCGGAAGCGGCGGCGGAGGAGGAGAAGAUGCUAAGCGUCUCGUACUCAUCAGCACACGAGGACGGAGGGAGGAGGAAAGAGACGAGACGAAAGAGCGCGACGCGGAGAACCUGCCUCCUUUCAAAGAGAGAGAGAGGGGUCCAAAACACACAAGAAAAAAAAUUAAUGCGCACUCGCGGCUGAUUAUUUUUAGAGCGAAAAUAUAAAGUAGGGGACCGGUAAUUUUGUUGAUCAUUCCCCUGCCGAAAUCACAGCGAUUCUCAUUUUCCAAAUAUCUGCUUCAAAAUUUUUUUCUUUUUUUUCAGAAACAAAUUUAUUUUAAAAUUUGAAAGGAAAAAUUACUAAUUGUACGUAAUACUGAUCUGACGGUUAAUUUGCAUCUCGCCAAGUUGUAUAGUUUCAGCUCUAUCCUUAUUCUGGUGGACAAAACUGGGCGCCCAAGCUUUACCUUUUCUGUUUAUUUCCAGAGCUACGUGCUCAUCUCCACUUUUUUGAAUUUUUUUAUAAAAUAGUUUUUUAAAAUUUUAUUAUUUGUGAAACAAUUCUGUUAAAAUAGUAUUUAAUUACUAUUAAUAUAAUAAUAUAAAAUAAUAAAAAUUAUUAUGUGAUGAUAAAAAAAAAUAUUCUAAUUAAUAUUAUAUUUUUUUUAACAAAUAAAGAAAUAUACUAUCGAUCUUAUUUGUAAUAAUACAUAUUAAAGUACAAAAGUUAGAGAAACAAAAUUAUGGGCCAAAAUAAAUGCUGAGGUAAAGAGCAAAAUUCAACACUGCUCUAUUAUCUAGUUAAUUGGUAUAAUUUGUUAAUUGGUAUAAUUUGAUUUAAUUUGAUUUAAUAGUGUUUCCUAAUAAAAUUGUUAUUCUAUAUUUGAGCAUAAUUAUAAUAAUAGCGUUUAAUAGUGUUCCCUACUAAAAUUCUAGUUAAUUGUAUAUAUAAUUAUAUUUAAUCGGUAUAAUUUGAUUUAAUUUGAUUUAAUAGUAUUUCUUAAUAAAAUUCUUGUUAAUUGUAUAUAUAAUUAUAUUUAAUUGGUAUAAUUUAAUUUAAUUUGAUUUUAUAUUUAAUUGGUGUAAUUUGUUAAUUGGUAUAAUUUGAAUUAAUUUGAUCUAAUAGUGUUUCCUAAUAAAGUUGUUAUUCUAUAUUUGAGUAUAAUUAUAAUAAUAGUGUUUAAUAGUGUUUCCUAAUAAAAUUGAUAUUCUUUUUUUGAGUUUGACACGUGACAAGCAUAUGAAAGACACGUGGCAGUUUUACACAAAGGGUUCUACUUUAGUAUAUAGUAAAUAGAUAGAUUAUAUUUGAAAAACUAAUCUUUUUUUUUGCCGGAGGGAGCAAUUUUUUUAAAAACAGUGAAUGAUUCACCGACUUCAUAAAGACGGUGAAAGAUUCACCGCCUUCCUAAUUUCUCACAAAAAUAGUGAAUCAUUCACCGUCUUUCACUUAUUUACUAUUUCUUUUUAUAUCUCAUAUAUAAUCCUAACAAACACAUAAUAUUUCAACAAAUUAUAUAUAAUUUUAACAAUCUGAAAAUUCUAAUAAUUUAUCCAUACAAUUCUAACAUUCAAAAAAAUCCUACUAAUCUAUCCAUACAAUUUUAAUAAUCAAAUAUCACAUAUAAUCUUAACAACUUUGAAAAUCCUAAUAAUCUAUCCAUCCAAUCCUAAUUAACAAUCAAAAAAAUUUUAAUAAUCUAUCCAUAUAAUGCUAACAAUCAAAGAAUUCUAAUAUUCCACAUACAAUCUUAGCAACCUUACUCUUUUUUUUUCUAUUUCCCGUACUAUAAUAUAUGUAUAAUUUUAACAACCUUAUUUUUUUCUUUUUUCUAAAAAAAUUAUGAAGAAGACGUUUCACCGUUUUAAUGAAUAGGGGUGGUAUUUAAAGUUUUCCCUAAUUUUUUAGGUUGCAGUGGAGGCCUACACAAGUUUAAUUUCUUGUCUCUCCUCUUCUGUGAUUAAUAAGGCGUGGUUGAAGUGAAUUGUGUGUGACGUCCUGCAGUCACGUGAUGAUCUACAAUUACGUUCUACUAGCAAUUAACUCCUGCUAUGCAAGAAUUUAAAUGGGUUAAUUGCAUACAAUUUUUUAUAAACAUAUCGAACAACAGAUAUAUUCAUACAAAUUCAACUUUUAUUUUUAUCUCUAUAAAAGUUCUAAUAUUUUCAAAUAUACCUCUAUUGUUAGAAUCGGUUAGACAAAUACAGUUAAUCAUAAGUAAAAUAUUUAUCUCUGAUUAGUGAAUAAGGUAAGUUGACUUUUUUACCCUCUUAUAUUAUUUCUGACAGUAGAAAGGAAGAAGAUAACUGUUGAAGUUUUUGGAAUGAUAUUUUUGCAUAAUUCUAAUAAUUAGGACUUUUGGAGGGACAUAUUUGUAAUGGUAAAGUUAUCAUUUCACUUAUUUUUUGUUAAAAAAUAAAUAUUUUUUUAACGAUAACAAACCAGAGUUGUAAAUAUGAAUAUCACUAAAUUUUUUUUGAUUAAACAGGGGUAUACCCUAUUAAUAUCACUAAAUUUUUGUACGAAUAAAUAUGAUAAGUUGAAAUUUAUAGAGAUAUAUUUGCUAUUCGAAAUGUUUAUAUAGAGCUUUAUUUAUUUACUUUAGAUAGAUUUAUAUAUGGACAAGAAUUUAGUAAGAUCAAUGAUAGACAAAAUCACAUAAAAAGGUUAAAAAAAAGGAAAGAAAAGAUAUAUUUAUAUUGUGGAACUGAAAAAACAAAUUAUACGCUUUUCACAAUAUUUUUUGGGGCAAUUUCACCAUUAGCUCUUUCACAUAUGUAAAUAUCGUAAAUACUCCUGCAAAGUUAAAAAUAUCAUAUAUAUACCCCUUCAAAUGCAAAAAAAUUAUCAUAAUUAGGUGAAGCCAUUUUGAAAUAGAUCCCUUUAACUUUAAUUUUUUAACAUUAAGAGCCCUUGAAGUUUUAGUUUUUUUUCAUUUGGGCUUUACUUGGUUAAAAGUUUUUUAAUUAAGAUCCCUCACACAUGAAUUUGAUACAAUUUUAAAUUUAGUUGGAAAAAAACACUCAUUUUUUAAAUUUUUCUACCGUUAGUUCAACCCUUUUGACCAUUUUCAACUGUCAGUUUGAUACACUUCCACUAUCCCAAAAGAAAGCUCCAGAGUUAAAAUGUCAAAUGGAUUAGUGGAACCGGCUAAGCAUAGUAAUUGAGCCACUAAAUAAAACCGCCCUUGAGGUCAUUGGAGUCAGAUGAAGCAGAAUCAUCUCAACCACCUAUUUGUAUAACUACCUUAACUGCCAAGUGUCCACAAUGUUAUUCUUGUACAAUUCCUAUAAAGGGGAUGAGAUAUAAUAACUGAUUUCAUAGCAUAUAAACAAAUUAAUUAUCUUCUCGUCUUCUCUCUUUCUCUCUUUCUCUCUCCCUCUCCCUCUCCCUCUCUCUCUCCCUCUCUCUUUCUCCCUCUCUCUAUCUUUCUUUCUUUGCUUUCCUCCGUUCUAUAUUCCUGCCAUGGUCAAAGCUUCACGAUCUUGAUUAGGAGCUCUUGUUGAGACCCAAAUCACAAGAGUAUCAAUUGGUAUAAGAGCAACGGUCCUUGGUAGUAGGGCUCGCCAUGGAAACCCGAGGCCAGGAGAUAAAGAAGGUGGAGGAGACGCUGCGACAGGUGACCAAGGAUACAUUACUGUGUCAGGAGCAAUCAAUCUAGGAAUUGAAGGAUCGGCAAACCCGAGAUAUAGAAGAAGUUCGCAAGAUGUUCGCUGAAUUGCACGCAUCCAUCACCCCUGGAAAUGGUCAAGGUCCCGCACCGAUAGCGCAAUCUGAAGGUUACUCUCUUAACAAACCUCAAUUUACUUCUAGGUUUACUAAGUUUGAGUUUCCACGAUUUGAUGGGGAGAAUCUCAAGGGGUGGCUAUAUCAUUGUGAACAAAUCUUUGAAAUUGAUGGAACUUGUGAGGAAUCUAAGGUUAGAUUAGCUUCCAUACACUUAGAGGGUAAGGCUCUUCAAUGGCAUCAAAUCUAUAUGAAAUAUCGGCUCACACGCUCACAUCCAAUCUGUGAGGAGUAUGUAUUAGUUCUCAACACUCGGUUUGGCGGAUCUAUAUGACGACCCUAUGGCUGAACUUAAAUCUCUCAAGCAGAUGGGCUCGGUAAUGGAAUACCAAGAUAAGUUUGACGUCUUACUCAACCGAGUAGAAUUACCUGAAGAAUAUGCAGUGAGUUGUUUUCUUAGCGGGUUAAAAGAUGAAAUUCAGAUUCCGGUGAGAAUGUUUCAGCCUCUCACGUUACAAAAGGUGCUCAGUUUAGUGAAGUUGCAGGAAUUGGCCGUGGAAGGUCACAAUAAAACCCCCAAGGGUGGAAUGACCAGCAGGGAGCAAUACAAUUGUCUCUUCUGUGACUCCCAAAACCAUUAGUACCUCCAAUUAUGCCCAGAUUCCCAGAACGUAAAGAAAUCCUAACCAGCAAGGAGUAUUAGGGCCGGCCCAUCCAUAACAAGGCCUGUAAGGAACAUCUUUAACAUAGAAUUUGACGAGAGACGGGUGAAGGGGUUGUGCUUUUGGUGUGAAGAGAAGUACGUCCCGGGCCAUCAGUGCAAGAAGAAGCAACUCUAUAGAAUUGAAUUGGUAGAGGAAGAUCUUCUCGAGGAGCUGAACAGAUUUGAAACACCUCUCAUGGUAAAUGAAGCGAGAAUCGAAGUCCUGAGCCCAUCAGCACAAAUUUCCCUUCUUGCAUUAAUAGGCCAAGGCCAAUUACCGGAUAUUAGGACAAUGAGACUCUCAGGAACAGUAAGAAAUAGAAGGAUUAACAUCCUCAUUGACUCAGGAAGUACUCAUAACUUUCUUGACGCAGCAAUAGCCGCUAAACUAGCUAGGGUGCCGAACCGAAGUGGUACAGCCUAUGAGAGUCACGGUAGCUGAUGGCAAUAGUUUAACUUGUUCUGCCAUCUACAAGGCUUUCCAAUGGAAGAUGCAGGGUACAACCUUUGAUACUGAUUUACUACUGUUACCACUAAGGCGCUGUAAUAUGGUGUUAGGCAUCCAAUGGCUUAUACACUUAGGCCCAAUUUUGUGGGAUUUCAAACAUCUCCGAAUGGAAUUCCAGUUCAAGGAGCGGCAGGUAGUGCUAAAGGGAUCCCCAGAAGCAAAUUUAAAGAUGAUAGAAGGGAAGGAGCUUCAGAAAAUGAUAUUGGAUGGUGCAGUUUGUUCGGCAAUUCACUUUUGCUCUAUACAUAUGAGUAUGCCAGAAGCAGUGCAGGGGUACUUAGGCGAAACAGAAUCACAUAACUGGAAGCAGAUAAGUGAACCCUUUGCUGAGAAGAUACAACAGCUGUUGACAAGGUAUUCAACAUUAUUCAAAGAGCCCCAGGGACUCCCUCCUACCCGGCCAUACGAUCAUAGGAUUCCCUUGAAAGAAGGCACCAAUCCAAUUAAUGUCAGGCCGUAUAGAUACCCGACAUACUAGAAAACAAAGAUCGAAAAGUUAGUACGAGAAAUGUUGUCGCAAGGGAGUAAUCAGGCCUAGCAGCAGCCCUUACUCCUCCCCGGUGGUGCUAGUUAAAAAAAAAGACGGGUCGUGGAGAAUGUGCAUCGAUUAUAGAGCACUAAACAGCAAUAUCGUCAAGGAUAAAUUCCCCAUACCCUUGGUAGAAGAACUACUAGACAAGCUAUAUGGCACUGUACUCUUCACCAAACUAGACUUAAGGUCGGGUUAUCACCAAAUCAGAAUGCAAGAGGCGGACAUCUACAAGACGGCUUUCCGAACCCAUGAAGGCCACUACGAGUUCUUAGUGGUGCCAUUUGGUCUCACAAACGCCCCGUCCACAUUCCAAGAGUUAAUGAACUAGAUUUUUAAGCCUUAUUUGUGAAAAUUUAUUCUAGUUUUCUUCAACGAUAUUUUAGUCUACAGCAAAGGGGCGGAUGAGCAUCUACAACACCUUCAAAUUACCCUUAAUGUCCUGAAGCAGCACUCUCUAUACCUCAAAAGGAGGAAAUGCACAUUUGCUGCCACCCAACUGGAGUAUUUAGGACACAUCAUCAGCAAAGAAAGGGUUGCCAUGGACGAGGAAAAGGUAGAGACUAUCCUGCGAUGGCCGCUGCCUUCUACAGUGAAAGAAUUGAGGGGCUUCUUAGGGUUGGCAGAUUACUACUGACGCUUUGUUAAGGAUUUUGGAAAAAUCAGCAAACCCUUGCAUGAGAUGCUAGGAAAGGAUGGGUUUCAAUGGAGUGAAGCAGGAUGUCAGGCUUUUAAUCAGCUGAAAACAGCCGUCGCUACUGCCCCAGUGUUGGCACUACCCGAUUUCUCUACGGAGUUUACCAUCGAAACAGAUGCUUCAGGGAUUGGAGUUGGCGCAAUCCUAUUACAAAAGGGUAGACCAAUAGCCUUCAUGAGUAAACCAUUAUCAAUUAGAAAUAGACAACUCUCAGCUUAUGAAAGAGAAAUGUUAGCAAUAGUGAUCGCCGUGCAGAAAUGGAGACCCUAUUUGGUCGAAAGACACUUCAAGAUCAAAACUGAUCACCAAAGUCUAAAAUACUUAAUGGAACAAAGAAUUUCCACCCCUAGUCAACAAAAAUGGGUCUCUAAGCUGAUGGGUUAUGACUAUGAAUUAGUGUACAAGAAGAGGCAGGAGAACACAGUAGCGGAUGCAUUAUCUAGACACCCUAUGCUGUCAGCAAUUUCAGUUAUUCACACAGAUCUUUUAGAUCAAGAGGCGUAGCUAGGCGUCGGAUGAUAAACUAAAGACACUUAUCCAACAAAAACUACAAGACUAUAGCUCUUGGCCACACUAUAGUUGGUCCCAGGAUCAACUCAAGAGGAAAGAAAAAUUAGUAGUUGGUGUUGACCCAAGGCUGAAGUUGCAACUCAUCACAGAAUUUCACUAAAGUGGACUAGGAGGUCACUCAGGAGCUGAAGUAAAAUACGAAGAUGUUAAAAAGUUACUUCUACUGGAAGGGCCUAAAAAGAGAUGUUACCAAGUUUAUAAGGGAAUGUACAGUUUGUCAACAAAAUAAAUAUGAAACAUCGGCACCAGCAGGCUUACUGCAGCCUCUACCAAUACCUGAAGGAAUUUGGAUGGAAGUCUCUAUGGAUUUUAUCGAAGGGUUGCCAUUAUCACAUGGAAAGGAUGUCAUUAUAUUGGUAGUUGACAGAUUGAGUAACUACGCGCAUUUCAUGGCACUUUCUCACCCUUACACUGCUUCUUCAGUGGCUCAAAUGUUUUUAGACAAUAUAUACAAACUGCAUGGGCUGCCGAAAAGCAUAGUAAGCGAUAGAGAUGCCAUAUUUGUUAGUCGAUUUUGGCAAGAGCUGUUCAAGGGACUUCACGUAAAAACUAACCUCUUUACAGCAUAUCAUCCACAAACUGAUGGCCAAACUGAGGUAGUUAAUAGAUGUAUUGAGAAUUAUCUACGAUGUAUGACAGGGGAUAAACAUAAGGAGUGGUCGAAGUGGUUGUCUCUUGCGGAAUGGUGGUAUGAUACCUCUUUUCACUCUUCAACCAAGACAACGCCAUACGAGGUGGUGUAUGGACAGGUACCACCAUUGCAUGUUCCUUAUUUGGCCGGUGAGUCAUCAGUAGACAUGAUGGAUCGGACAUUGACUGCCAGAGAGAUCACCCUGCAGCAGAUCAAAGAAAAUUUAGCUAAUGCUCAAAAUAGGAUGCGACAAAUGGCAAAUAAAGGAAGGUCGGAGCGGAAACUGCAAGUAGGGGAUUGGGUUUAUGUCAAAUUACAGCCGUAUAAGCAACAAUCACUUCGGAAGCAUGCACACCUCACAAAAGCUAUACCCAAGAUACUUUGGUCCAUUUGAAUUAACUGCCGCAGUAGGACCUGUCGCAUAUAAGCUUCGACUGCCCGAUUCUGCCAAAAUUCAUAGCACCUUCCAUGUAUCUCAACUUAAGAAGAAGAUAGGAUCUUCACUAGCUUCGCCUUAUAUUCCAUCAUUUAUUAAUUCCGACGGCCAAGUAUUGGUCGAGCCGAUAGCAUUAUUGGAUAGGUGUCUUGUUAAGCAUUGUGGGAGAGCUACUACACAAGUUUUAAUCCAAUGGUUGAAUCAACCAAGAGAGCAUGCUACCUGGGAGUAUCUUUUCGAUAUCCAGAACCAAUACCCUCAAUUUGAUCCUUGGGGACAAGGAUCUUCUGAAGAGGGGGGCACUAAUACACUUCCACUGCCCCAAAGUAAGCUCCAGAGUUAAAAUGUCAAAUGGAUUAGUGGAACCGGCUAAGCAUAGUAAUCGAGCCACUAAAUAAAACCACCCUUGAGGUCACUGGAGUCAAAUGAAGCAGGAUCAUCUCAACCACCCAAUUGUAUAACUGCCUUAACUGCCAAGUGUCCACAAUGUUAUUCUUGUACAAUUGCUAUAAAGGGGAUAAGAUGUAAUAACUGAUUUCAUAGCAUAUAGACAAAUUAAUUCUCUUCUCGUCUUCUCUCUCUCUCUCUCUCUCUCUCUCUCUCUCUUUGCUUUUCUCUGUUCUAUAUUCCUGCCAUGGUCAGAGCUUCAAGAUCCUGAUUAGGAGCUUUUGUUAAGACCCAAAUUUAAAUCACAAGAGUAUCACAGAUCAUACUAUUUAAUCAACCACUCACUCAACCCUAGGGGACCACUAUCAUUCUAACAAUACAUCGCUUCAUCCAACUCCAAGUGCCAAAAACUUAAUAACACCAAUUUUCAAAUCUAAUCAAAAUGGCACUAUUAAAAGAGGUUUAGAAUUAACGAUAUUAUCAUGUCAUCGCCUAUUUAGCUUUCUUUAGGAUAUUAAUUUUUGUCUCUAAACUUUAUUUUUCACUUUAGUCCCCAAAAGUAAAAAUUUAAAAUUUUGAAUUUAAAUCUGGAAUUAAUCUUAAAAUUAAUUUGAAAACUUAUGAAUACAAAGGGAUCUAUACUCAUAAGAGUAUAAUAGCUGAACUCUCUCUCUCUCUCUCUCUCUCUCUCUCUCUCUCUCUCUGUGUGUGUGUGUGUGUGUGUGUGUGUGUGUGUGUGUCUCUCUCUCUCUCUCUCUCUCUCUACCUAAAGUUUAGGCCAAAAUUUGAAAUUGUUAAAAAAAAGAAGAAGAAAGCUCUUCUUUUCAAGGCCCAGUUAAUGGGACUCAUCAAGCCCUAAAGGCCAUCAUCAAGAAUCACUGACAUUUAUAUAUUAACUAAUGUGUUUGUUAAUCAAACUCAUUAACUACAUACUUCAAAUUUGCAUAGCUAUUUCUUUAUGUUAUUAUAUACAUUAAAUAUAAAUUAUGGACAAGAAAUCAUGCAGUUACAUACAUACAUACAUACAAACAUACNUAUAUAUAUAUAUAUAUAUAUAUAUAUAUAUUGAUUUUAAUUAUAAUAAUUUACUGUAAUAAUACCUUUCCGCCGCAUCGCACAAGUCCUUAACUAGUUAGAUUAAAGUACGAGUUAUAUGCCAGUUUCAUCGAGUAUGGAUGUGGUAUUAGCCCGAGGCUCUCGAUACCAAUGGCGGUAUUAGAUUGGGUAUUUACAUGUAUUUGAUUAUAUCAUUACAGUUGCUGCAUGAUACCAAAUUUGAGUAGCUUAAUAGAUCCAUAUGUUGCUAGUAUUUAAGAUUCUAGUUUUUUUAAUUUUCUUCCACAUUUUUACCCACUAGUAAGGUUGGCAAUUAAAUUUGUUGUUUGUAAACCAACUCGUGUUCAGUUUAUUAAUAAGCCAAACACAAGUUAGAUUUUCUAGCCUGAUAUUUUGACGAGUAAGCUCAUGUUUGGUUCGUUUAUUAAACGAGUCAAAUAUGUGCUUGGCCAUAGCUUGCUUGUGUUCAGCUCGUUAACAGCCCUAUUUACAAGAGAAUUUUUUUUGUAUUUUAGUCUCACUUCUUUUUUAGAAAGAAAGAUAGUUUGCGACACAUUUUAUUUAUUUUGUUUAGUAAUAAACCUAACUAGAAAUAUGAAUUUUCAUUUUAGAAGUACUUUGUCAUGCAUAGAAAUAAGACCUUCUGAUAUUUAUAUAUACACUUCAGAGUGUCAAGUAAUUCAAGUACAUUAAUUCUUUUACCUAAUAAAGUAAAACUAGUGUAGUUACCCGUGCGAUGCGGCGGAGAGGCAUUAUCGAACAAAUUAUUUCUUCUAUCAACAGUAAUAGUUUGGAGAAAUAAACAUGAAAUAUAUAGUUCAUGUACUAUGAAAUGAAAAAUAUUAGUUUAAAUAGUCCGCAAAAAAUGGUGAAAAACUACUAAAGAUGAUUGAGAGCUAGAGCAGGUAGGCAUGUCCUUAUUUAAGUUGGUAUUAUUCAUGCACUAUCAAGCAUCAAAUAAAUUAAAAACAUCUGGUUCGUUAAGUACAAUAAAUAUGAAAUUUAUAAAUUCACUUUGAUCUUUCCUCAAUUCACAAAAGCUGAUACAUGUUGCUCUAUUCGCCAACCAGCACAUUCUCCGACCGAACGAUCCGACCGAACCAAGGAGGGGCUGUUGCUGCUGUUGCUUUCUGACAAAGAAACCAAGACCUCUCCAAGGCCCACCUAUCAACGAAUGCGAGUCCUCCAUAAUGCUACAUGACACAGUAAGGCCAAGUAGUGUAGAGAUUGAAAGAGAAAAUGAUAUAACAUUACCAUCGGUCUUAAACGCAUCGACAUUCUCCUUUUGGCUAUAAAAUUUCAGAUGACAGCUGCAUUCUCUUAGAAUAUUAGAAAAAUCAACAUAGAUUUCAUUAGAGGACUCCUUUCUCGAUUGGAUUUAUAAUGCUAGAGUUCUAAUACCUCAAAAUUGGUUCGCAACCUACAUAACUCUUUUAUAACUUUGAAUAGUCGCAUUUCAUUACUUAGUCUUCUUCUCCAUAGCAUCAAAGAUAUUUCAGUGGUAUUUAUGCUCACCAAAUAACUGCACUGCAGCUAGUUCUUAACGCUGCAUUCUAGCAGCAUCACAGAAUACCAUCAAUUUUGCAGUUGAAAUCAAUGAAAUAGAUGAAUAAGUUCAACAACAACUAAAAAAAUGACCAAAUCAUGACAAUGAAAUAGUUAAAACAACGUUAAAAAAUAACUAGAUGAGCUGCCAAUGUACUAACCAGGAAAGACCAACAUCAUUGGACUAAUAUUAUUUUCAUGGGCCUCUCCAAUUCUCUCUAUCACAACACCUGUAGGCAAUAAAGGCACUAAUUAGUAAAUGAUUAUUUUGUAGUAAGGUUAUCAAAGCAGUAGAUAAGUUUAUUAAGACAUCAUUGCCAAGUGAGAAUUAAUGAAGCAUCUAAUAUUUCUUCCAGUAAUAUCGUAUUACACGAAUAAACUCAUGAUGGUCGAAAUCUUGAUAAGCACAAAAGAAUGCAAAUUCACCUGAAAGAUUCUACAAUUUUUUGAAAUGCAAAUUUAUCUGAAACACUUUUGAACCAGCACUUGAUUGUUACUCGGCUGACUCUUAUUCUAAAAGUGAAAGGCAUAAAGACCUGCAAAUUAGUCAAUGAUUUCAGAAGCAAACUCAGCUAAAUUUUUUUUUUACUUUGGAUACUAUAUGAAAAGCUUCAUAUCAUCAGAGUUGAAUUAUAUAAAAAAAAAAAAGGAAAAAAAUUAAUUCUCUUAGGAGCACCACAGCUAAAAUAAAGCAAUAGAAAAUUGUAGCAAGGAAAAUAUCUAGGGACAUUGAUCAGCUUUAGACAAUAAAACAGGUCAUUAAAUUCUAGGAUUUUAUAUUUGAACCUCAACUGAAACUCCAUCUGAUUUAGUGAGAAUUUGAAAAUUAAGUUUUUGUUAUGAAAAAUACAGAAUAUUUUGAUACUUAACAAAAUAUUAUGUUACUUUUCCUUCUAAACCUUCGAUUUCAAACAAAUUACAACUAAGAAUCAAAACAAAUUAGCAAGUUAGCAAUCUCACACAGCAUGAGAAGGGAAGCUCUUCGUAAUGAUCGACACCAUCGACUCCUCCGCUUCCUGAUCCGCAAUAGUCACAGGACCUACAAAUUCAAUCCACCUCACACCAUGUCUCCUAUUUUUUUAAGAAAAUAAAUAUUAUUCUAAUAGUUAGAGAGGAGGUGGGCCUCACUUUUUAAGUAUUAUUCUGAAUAAUUACAGAGAAGAUGGGUCCCCUUUUUUUCCUUGAAAUAAGGGGAGCGCUUGAAUCCCACGGAAAUUCAUAGAAUGUUAUAGAUGUGGAGAUCUCAUAUACUUGGGAAUGAGUGAAGCCACUAUAUUUGGUGAUUGAAUUUUAUAUGCGGUUAAAGUACGGCAGUGCUAUUAUUAGACAAUGAUCCAAAAUCUAGCUAGUUGAAAUAUAGCAGACAUCUAGUUAGAUGUUAGGCAGUCAGACCCUUGGAGAGUCCAGAAGGCCUAUAAGGUUCCCUAUUUACCAAAACAAAAGGUAAUGCUACCUUUGCAGUAUGCAUCUUACAUACUACCGAUCCUGAUGCAGGACGGGUCAAACCUAUCCUACAUGUAAAACUCCUUAGACGUGGUAGACAAAAAAUUUGCUAAGAUAAAAUUAAACGAGCAAAAAUAUUUUUUUUUUUUUCUUCUUCUUUUUUUUUUUUUUUUGUUAAAGAUAUGAACAGCUUCAAAAGAAACAUUAAUUCAAGUGAACAAUAGUUUGAUCAGAUAGGCGAUUGUUACCAUACAAUCCAGGCGAAUGCAUGAUUAAACUAUUACGAUUAGUCCAGAUCAUCCACAAUCUAUUUGCAACAUCCUCCUAAUCAUGCUUGUAAAUACGCGUAAUCGAAUUUUCGCUCACAAAAAUAAUCAAGUAUCUUGCCAGAUCAAAAGACUAAAAUUUUCUGAAAUUUAGAUAAUAUAAAAAAACAAGUCUACGAAUUUUCCCGAGAGAAAAAAAAAGAAAUCAAAACAUGAUAUAGACCAAGCUCUUUUAUUACAACAGAUAAUAAUAUGUAGAGGAAGGUAUAGAAGAAAUACUAGUUUGGAUAUAAGCCGGGUUCAUCCAAUAUUAUGCGGCUGCUGUUGUUUAAAACCUGCCAGGAACUGUGAGACGUGCAGGAAAUAAAGUCACCUCGGGAGAAGUCCCCAAGGAGCUUCGUCUCCAACUUCGUCUUCUCCUGCUGCUUGCCCCCAAGCUUUCUUUCAAUUAACAACUCCUCUUUUCUCUAAUUUCUUAACCAAAUCUCACAAAUAGGUAGUCAAAAUUUGCAGAAAAUUAAGAGGACUUAAGAACCAACAAAAUAUUAAAACUCUGGACCUCGCCAGAACCGGAAACCCUCCGGGAAAAAAAAUCUCUCUCAAAAAACCUUUGCAAAAAAAGUUCCAAAUUAUAUUCAAUAAUCAUCGUCCUCUUCAUAAAACCUUGUAGGUUAUUUAUAUCCUAAUUACAUCCGAGAAUAACCGAAAAAAAUCUCAACUAGAGAUUUAUCUAAAAGAAAAAUAACCGAAAAAUCUUAACCGAAAAAAUCUUAACUAAAGAUUUAUCUAAAAGGAACAAAUAUUCCUAACAAGAAAAUCUUAAAAUAACAGAGUAAAUCAAAAAUAAUCUUCAGAUCCAUAUAGCGGGUUCGGGCGCCAACUUGCGUCGCCUUCGUUGAUAGACCUGAAAUUCGGGUGAUGAGACGGGUCGGGUUCGGUUUGCAUCAUCUCUCCCCGGCUUGGAAAAAUCCGACUCUGACGGAUUAUGGCUGAUGUAGUCCUCAUAGAGAUCUGGAGCAAUGUCUCUAAGCUCGUGUUCCGGUAUCCAUGUCACUUCUUCAUCUGGUCGGGAUGCCCACUUCACCAUAAAGCUACGCGAAUCACCUGAUCGUGUAAUAACAACUCGGUCGUCGAGAACCUGUUCGAUUUCUUCUUUCUUUCUCGGUAUGGGUAGGGAUGGAAGUGGAGGAAGAGGUUGACGUGGAGAUAUAUUUGUGGAGAUGGGAUUCUCAAUGGAAAGAGGCUCAUGGUAGUGGCUCAGAUCCUCGAUAUUGACCGUUGAGUGAAAACCGAUAUUAGCCGGCAAAUCCAAGACAUAAGCAUUUGGAUUUAGUUGUUUCAAGAUUUUGAAUGGACCCAAAUUUCUCGCAUGUAGCUUUUUCACGGUACCGCUGCGAAAUCGUUCUGGCCGAACCCUUACCAUAACCAUAUCUCCUUCUUUAAAACUUCCUUCACGCCGACGUUCAUUUGCUUUAUUUGCAUAAAUCUCAGUUUUUAAAACAAUUGCUCGUCUUAUUUUAUCAUGCAAUUCUUUUAUAUGUUGAACAAAGGCUUCAGCAUGUUGGCUUGACCUAUAGUCUACAGGUAACGGAAUUAGGUCAAUGGGUGUCCUAGGGUUGUAACCAGUGACAAUCUCAAACGGACUCAUUCCAGUGGUGCGAUUAACUGAAUUAUUAUAGGCAAAUUCGGCCAUAGGUAAAACGCUAUCCCAGUUCCUAGUGUGAUCACCCACUAGACAACGUAAUAAAUCUCCUAGGCUUCGAUUAACAACCUCAGUUUGGCCAUCUGUUUGUGGGUGAUAUGGUGAAGAAAAUUGUAAUUUAGUGUUCAUUAAUUUCCACAUUGUCUUCCAAAAAUAACUCACAAACCGCACAUCUCUAUCACUCACAAUAGUCUUUGGUAGUCCAUGCAAUUUUAUGACGUGAUCAACAAAAAGCUUCGCUACAUGGGUGGCGUCAGAAGUCUUCCUACAUGGUAUAAAAUGUGCCAUUUUUGAAAAUCUAUCAACCACAACUAAAAUCGAAUCGUGACCUCGAAUGGUUUUAGGAAGUCCUAGAACAAAGUCCAUGCUAAGAUCUUGCCAGGGGGCGUGAGGUAUAGGUAAAGGUGUAUAUAAUCCAAUAUUUUUUCGCUUUCCUUUACCGGUCUGACAUAUACCACACUGGGCAACAACACGUGCAACAUCUCGUUUAAGACUUGGCCAAAAGAAACGAUCCUCUACCAAAAUAAUGGUCUUAUCCCUACCAAAAUGCCCUGCUAAACCUCCAGAAUGCAAUUCCCAAAUCAUGAAAUCUCUCAAUGAACCUUGGGGAACACACAAACGUCUACCCUUAAAUAAAUAUCCAUCAUGAAUAACAAAAUCAGGGUUAUCAUGCAAUCCAUCAAGAAUAUUCUUAUAAGUCUCACCAAAAUCUGGACACGUGGGAUAUUCGUCUUUAACUCGAUCAAACCCUAUGACUUGUGUUCCUACAGCAUGCAAAGUCAUGAUAACACGACUAAGAGCAUCGGCAGCUCUGUUUUCGAUACCAGCAACAUGCUUAAGAACAUAGGUAUAUUCCUCAAGAAACGCAACCCACUUGGCAUGCCGUGAAUUUAAUUUCUUUUGCGACUUAAGAUAGCUAAGGGCUUGAUGGUCCGAAAGUAAAACAAACUCCUUAGGUAAUAAAUAAUGUCGCCAAUAUCGUAGGGCUUGCACAAUUGCAUACAAUUCCUUGUCGUACGUGGAGUAUUUCAUCUUUGCCUCAUUCAAUUUUUCGCUAAAAUAAGCAAUUGGAUGACCUUCUUGACUCAAGAUUCCACCUAUUCCUACUCCAGAUGCAUCGCACGAAACCUCAAAGAUCUUCUCAAAAUCAGGUAAUCUCAAAACAGGUGGAUUAGCCAUUCGUUCCUUAAUUUCAUUAAAUGCCUUACUCGCAGCCUUGGUCCAUGUGAAUUCUCCCUUUUUCAUGCAAUUUGUAAUUGGAGCCAUAAUGGUACUAAAACCUCUAAUGAAUCUUCGGUAGAACGUCGCUAACCCAUGAAAACUUCUAACAUCAUGAAUAUUCUGCGGUUGGGGCCACUGUUGGAUUGCUUUGACCUUAUCGGGAUCAGCUGACACUCCAUUUACAGAUACUACGAAGCCUAAGAAAACAACCUUAGGUUGCAUGAAAACACAUUUUUUGGUAUUGAUGUAAAGCUUUUCUCUCCUAAGAGUGUCUAAAACUUGCCUAAGGUGACUUAGGUGUUCAUCUUCGGUCUUACUAUAAAUCAGAAUAUCGUCGAAAUAGACUACAAGAAAUUUUCCUAUGAAAGGUCGAAGCACUUGAUUCAUGACUCGCAUGAAUGUACUUGGGGCAUUCGUCAAUCCGAAUGGCAUGACCAACCACUCGUACAAACCUUCCUUCGUUUUAAAGGCAGUUUUUCACUCAUCUCCUUGUCUAAUUCUUAUUUGAUGAUACCCACUUCUAAGAUCAAUUUUUGUAAAGAUUAUGGAUCCAGCCAUCAUAUCAAGCAUAUCAUCCAAUCGAGGAAUCGGAAAUCUAUACUUAAUAGUGAUCUUGUUGAUGGCUCGACUAUCGAUGCACAUUCGCCAAGUUCCAUCCUUCUUAGGAGUAAGGAGUGCCGGGACUGCACAAGGACUCAUACUUUCUCUAAUGAAACCUUUUCUAACCAAGUCCUCUACUUGACGUUUCAAUUCACCAUGCUCCUUAGGGUUCAUCCUAUAAUGUGGCAGGUUUGGCAAUGAUGAUCCAGGCACUAAAUCUAUCGCAUGUUGAAUAUCCCUCAUGGGUGGCAGCUCAUCAGGCAACUCGUCUGGGGUCAAAUCAGAAUAGUCAGAUAAUAGGUUUCGAAGGUUCAAUGGUAGAUCAGGUUCAAGGGAAGGCUUCUCUAUCUCUCGAACAAUUAAUGCGUAAACAACGGCAGAACUAGCCUCCCUACAAAAUUGCUUCUUGUUCAAGAAAUGAAGCGGUCUAGUUUGCUCUACCAACCUAUUUUCCUUGGAUGUGGUUGGUUCAUUACGUGCAUUAGAUUGGCUAGUCGCAUACUGAAUCGGCUUAGGUCGGUGAGGUCUUAGUACGAUCUUUUUCUUAUCAUGAGUGAAGGUGUAUGUGUUUUGACGACCAUAAUGUGUAACAUCAUGAUCGUACAACCAUGGUCGUCCCAAAAGAAUGUGUCCGACAUCCAUCGGGAGGACAUCACACCAUACUUGAUCCCUAUAUGUAGCAAAGUUGAGAGGGACCAAACAUCGCUCAGUGACAGGUAUCGUAGUCUUAUCUACCCAAGCAACUCUAAAGGGAUUUGGAUGUGGUUCAGGGGUCAACUUCAUUCGGUCAAGGGCUGUUUUGGCUAUCACGUUCAUGCAACUGCCGCCAUCAAUAACGACCUUGCAUACCUUAUCCCCGCACUUGGUAUAAGUGUGGAAGAUAGCGGUGCGUCGCCAGUCACCCUCAUCCUCCCUCGUGGUAAGAACACAACGGACGACUUGUAGUGGAAUGGUGUCGUCUAGGUCAUCUACGUGCGUGCUCUCAUCCUCGUCACUUGGAUACUCCUCAGUCUCAUGCACUACUUCCUCGAAAUCAUCUUCAUCGUUUUUCAUCAUCAAGUUACGCUUUUGUGGACACUUAUUCGAGUAAUGGCCCAUUCCUUCACAGUUAAAACACUUCACUCGAGAAAGGUCUGGUUUAGUUCCUUCAACUAAAGAUUUUCCCCUAGAAUCUCGAUUAGGUUGAUUGAAGGGUACGAUUGACUUACCAGUGUUUUGGUUUCUAUCGGUCCACUUCUUAGUACUUGACUCCCCGGCUUGGUAACCGAAACGCCUAGUAGGAGGUUUAAGAUAACGCUCAUAUUCGAGUGCAAGUUGGAAUGCAUCCUCUACCGUGUUUACUCGAUGGGGUGUAAUCUCUUUCUGGAUUUCCUCACGUAAUCCUCUCCUAAAUCGGGCCAACGUCACAUCCUCUUCUUCCUGGACAUUACACCUAACAGAAAUCUCAUCAAACUUUUGCAUGUAAUCAGCCACGGACAUUGAACCUUGACGUAAGGACAACAUUUGCUCUAUCUGAAGCUGCCUAUGGGUUGAGGGCAAUAUUUUUCACUUAAUUUGGCCUUCAUCUCAUCCCACAACGUGAUCGGUGCUUGCCUAGACCUAGCCAAUUGUCGCUCAACACUCACCCAAUAUUGUUUGGCUGCCCCCACAAGUUUCAUUUUGGUAAAACGAACGCGACGGUCAUCGGACAUAUCGUACCAAUCAAAAAAUUGGUCCAUAUCAGUCAGCCAAUCAGUGAAAGUCUUAGGAUCAAAUCUACCAUCAAAAGUUGGGGCUUCAAUUUUGAUCUUUUUGGUAAUGUCGUCACCUAAUGGGAAAUUAUGUCUAGGGAGGUCCGGAUGGUUUUCAUGGCGUUGGGCUCUGAGGGCUGUUCUAUCAGGAGUCACAGUCACAUUUCCUACUACAGUCCGACUAGUCUCAAGGAUGGCCACACGAUCCCCUAUGUCAUCUAAUUUAGUGUUCAAAGCAGUCAGUUGCUGUAAAAUCUGAUCCAUUGCAGUGGGUUCAAAAGCCAUGGGUACAGGAUGAUAAAUUUUACCACUUCUAAGGAUCAUACAUUAACCUAGGUCUCUGAUACCAAAUCUGAUGCAGGACGGGUCAAACCAAUCCUACAUGUAAAACUCCUUAGAUGUGGUAGACAAAAAUUUUGCUAAGAUAAAAUUAAACGAGCAAAAAUAUUUUUUUGUUUUUUUUUUUUUUUUUUUUUUUAAAGAAAUGAACGUUCGAAAAGAAAAUUAAUAAAGUAAGAAAAGUUGAUCAGAUAAGCGAUUGUACCAUACGACAUCCAGCGAAUGCAUGAUUAAACUAUUACGAUUAGUCCAGAUCAUCCACAAUCUAUUUGCAACAUCCUCCUAAUCAUGCUUGUAAAUACCGCGUAAUCGAAUUUCGCUCAACAAAAAAUAAUCAAGUAUCUUGCCAGAUCAAAGAGACUAAAAUUUUUCUGAAAUUUAGGAUAAAAACAAGUCUACGAAUUUCCCCGAGAGAAAAAAGAAAUCAAAACAUGAUAUAGACCAAGCUUUUAUUACCAACAGAUAAUAUACAUAGAGGGAGGUAUAGAAGAAAUACUAGCUUGGGAUAUAAGCCGGGUUCAUCCAAUAUUAUGCUGCUGCUGCUUGUUGUUUCAAAACCUGCGCAGGAACUUGAUGACGUGUGCAGGAAAUAAAGUCACCUCGGGAGGUGCGCCCAAGGAGCUUCGUCUCCAACUUCUUCCUCCUGCUGCUUGCACAAGUUUUCUUCUCUCACUAUCAACCCCUUUAUUUUCUAAAAUCUUAACCAAACCUCACAAAUAGGUAGUCAAAAUUUGUAGAAAAUUAAGAGGAACUCAGAUCCAACAAAAUAUUAAAACUCUGGACCUCGCCAGAACCGGAAACCCUCCGGGAAAAAAAAUCUCUCUCAAAAAACCUUUGCAAGAAAAGUUCAAAAUUAUAUUCAAUAAUCAUCGUCCUCUUCAUAAAACCUUGUAGGUUAUUUAUAUCCUAAUUACAUCCGAGAAUAACCGAAAAAUCUUAACCGAAAAAUCUUAACUAAAGAUUUAUCUAAAAGNUUUAUAUCCUAAUUACAUCCGAGAAUAACCGAAAAAAAAAUCUCAACUAGAGAUUUAUCUAAAAGAAAAAUAACCGAAAAAUCUUAACCGAAAAAAUCUUAUCUAAAGAUUUAUCUAAAAGAAAAAUAUAACAACUAUCCCUAACAAGAAAAUCUUAAAAAUAACAGAGUAAAUCAAGAAUAAUUUUCAGAUCCAUAUAGCGGGUUCGGGCGCCAACUUGCGUCGCCUUCGUUGAUAGACCUGAAAUUCGGGUGAUGAGACGGGUCGGGUUCGGUUUGCAUCAGAUCCUAGGAUGGAAUGAUCUCUAAAGUCACAUCAAUAUGAUUAGUACAAUUUUUUUUUUCUUUUUUUUUUGAGAGAGAUAGGGCCCACUUCAUCUAUUUCAUUUAGAAAUAAACUUAACUGGAAAUGUGAAUCAACUAGGAUUCGAACUUGGGACCUCGGGUACCAACCACCAAGCCCUUUGAUACUUGCUCUAGGGACGGUCGGUAGUACAAAAAUUUUCAUUCUAAGAUAGGUGGGGUAUAGAUAUCAUACAGCUCUUGAGAAGUGUGUGAAUAACAUUGCUCUAAAAGAUUACACGGAGAGAAUUCUCCAAAUUAUCUAUUUGAGAAUAAGGAAUCUAUUGCCAUGUAGAUAUUGGAUUCUAUAUCUCGAGACAAUUUGGUAAACUAUCUGAAACUUUUCUUUCUUCCACUACUAGCGGUUCCAAAACUUUUUUUUAGACCCAUUUACUAAAAUUUAUAACGUGCACAAAAAAUAACAACAAAAAAUUUCAAUUUUGGUUUACUAAUAGCCAUAUUCUAAUCAUUUUAGCAAAUAAAGUUGUGAUAUUUAAUAGUAAAAACAUAAAAAGAGUUGUUAAACCCCAGUAGGAUAACAAAUAUUUUAUUUUUUCGAGUUAAUUUUUUAUUUUUACUAAAAAUCUUAUAAGGGUUGCCUAAACCCUAAAGUAAAAAAUAGUUUAUGCACUACAACAGAAUUAAGUUAUAGCAACACAUGUUUGAGACACUUUUGUAUAAGUGUCACAUUUAUGCUAAAACUUAAAAAAAUCCUACUAAUGCUUAAAUAUAAAGUCCAAUCCAACUAAAAAUAAAAGGGUAUUCUACUCAACCCACUCCACUUAGCUCAUUCGGCCCGAUUACAAACAGAAAAGAAAAAUCGAUUAUCAUUUUUUCUUCUCCCCUCACUCAAUCGACUGAAUCCUAGACGAAGAUCAUUUCCUCUCGUCCUCCUCCGCCACCGCAGCCAACGAGGUAGAGUUCCGGCGGUUGCUAGAUGCUUAAAUAAAUAUUGGUAAAUUAACAGCACUCUUUUAGAUUAUAGCAACACUCUUUAACUGUCACUAUAUAUUUAGCGACCCCACAUAUAGCAACACUUUUCAAAAGUGUCGGUAAAUUUAGCCAGCAACACUUUUUUGACCUAUACCGACAUUUAAAAGUGUCGCUAUAGACCAUUUUUGUUGUAGUGAUGUUUCUCAGGUCCUAUUUUAUUUUUUAAAAGAAUUAUUAUUUUGAAGUUAAUGAGUCUAUAAAAUAUUUUGAAUCCACUAAUAGUUUAAGAAAGGCUAAAUUAUAGAAAAUUCUCCGGUCAAUGCCCGUUUUUCACUUUUCAUCCUGUCAUUCAAAAAUCUAUAUUUUGCCUCCUUACAAAAUAAAAAAUAUUCAAUUUGGCCCCGCCGUCAGUCUUCUGUUAGGGUUCCAUUUAUAUCAUAUUUUUAAUAUCCAAAAUAUUCCCUGAAACCCUCAUUUUCCUCACUGUCGUCCUCGGCCGCGUCACGUCGCGCUCUGCCGCCUCACCCUCGCCCACCUCUCUGUCCAUACCCACACACACGCCCUCGCCCUCCUCCGCCGCCUCACCGUGGCCCUCGCCCUCGCCCUCGCCCUCGCACUCGCCCACCCUGAUCUUUCAUCCUACAGUCGUCGAAAUAGAGGGGCGGCAAGGGUGCUGGAGAAGUGGGGGAGUAAUUAAGUGGAGGAAAGUAAGUCGGGGCUGGGGUCGAGGGAGGUGCGAAGAACGGAGGAGGAGAGGCUAUAGCUAAGGACGAGAGGCAUCGGAUUGGGGAGGAGACGAAGAGGUUGAGAGACAAUUUAGUCAUUUUGUCACAGCGUACCUCCUGUGAACAAUUUUUAUUUUUUAAAGGGGCAAAGUGUAGGUUUUUGAAUGAUAAGAAGAGAAAGUGAAAAAGCAGAUAUUGACAAAAAGAUUUUUUAUAAUUUAGCUUUUAAGAAAAAUAAAUUUUAACUAUCUUAGCAAAUUAUCUCGAGAUGUGGGAUCUAAGGCUUAUAUGGCAAUAGAUUUCACAUUAUCACAUGAAUAAUUUGAGGAAUCCUCCCCAGCACAAUUUGUCUCUUCUAAACCCCAAAAAAGAAUAUACAUCUUACAACCUAUCUAUCAAAAUGAGUUAAUUGUGUUUGGUGGUCCCCAACCUUGACCUGAUUUUUCAUUUUAGUUCAAACAUUUGAAUUUGGAGAAAUGCUACCUGUACACUCCAUUUUAGGAUAUACAUUUUAAAUUCCCUCAAUCCUAGAGUUUAAAAAACUCUUAAAGUUUUAGUUAAAAAAAUAUAUAUUGACAAUAUAAGAACCAAUUUUGGUCUUUGGAUGAAGGGGUGUAAGAUACACACCCGUUUUUGAAGUAUAGAAAAAGUUGUGUUCUUCAAUUUGUGGGUAAACUUUAAUUUGCUCUCUUGUGGCAAAAAGUUGUGUUUAAUUAUCUUAUAAUUUUAUUUUUAUUUCAUAGAAAAAAAUGUAUUGUCAAAUGGAAUAGUAAAGCGAAAUUUUUUGACAACCGUAGAGUAAUACUUUGUUUAAGAAUAGAUUUUUACAUUAAAAUAAUAAAAUUAUAGAAUAAUUAAAUAUAACUUUUUUGACCAUUGGGCAUUAAAGUGAAAACUCCUAAACCAUAUGGUAGCUAAGUGUAACUUUCUAAGCCAUAUGGUAGCAAACUAAAAUAUGUUAAACCAAUUGAAGCCUAUCCCAUAGUUUUUGCAAUUAGUUCCUUAACCUUUAAAAUAAAUUAAUUGCACCAUUGGCCCCUACCUCCAUCUUUCCCUUUUUUUUCACUUUGGUCUCUAAUUGUUUCUUCGAAAUGCGCACAUAUUUGUAUCAAGCUCAAUUUCAAUAAUUGUAGAAAAUAGAGAGAUCGGGGACCUAAUAACGAAAAAAAGGUUAGAGACGAGUGAAAAACCAUAUAAAAGUUAGUAACCAAUUUGCAAUUAACCAAAUAAACGAUGAAUUCUAUUUGUACUUUGUACACACCGAUUGAUUGAUGAGUUUCAUAUCUUACAUUCCGUCUAUUCAAUAGAUAAGGUACUUUUAUUAGUCAUAUUAAGUGAGUAGUAAAUGACGCUCAUCCAUUAAAUACAUAGGGUGUAAAACAUACACUCAUUUUUAGAUGUAUAUAAAUAGCAUUACUCAUUAAUUAACAACAAGCCACAAUAAUUGAUAUAUUUUUAGGAAUGACAUGAUUUCAAAUAGUUUGAUGUUA